UUUUUUUUUGUUUUUUCCCUAGUCUCUGGACUUAUUUCAAUAUAGUUUUGAUUUAUUACUUAAAUGCAUAGACAAUGGUAAAACAUAUUAUUAUAGUUGUUUUUUUCGUAAUAGUUGGAAAUAGACAUUACUCCCACUGGAUGGUAAGGCUGAGCUAUCUGACAUAUAUAGGCGAAAUUGGAAAGGGUUGAUUUGUGGUUGCUAUUCCCUCUUUGCUGCAAACAUUUCUUAGCCUGCAAAUAAAGCUACUAAUGUUGUCAGUUUACAUUCAUGAAUAUGUAAUUUACCUUGUUUAACUUAUGACUUAUUUCUCUCUUAUGUAGGUUGGGGAAUCCGUGAGGGAGAUAACAGAACAGAAAUAUUGAAUAACACAUGAGAAGAUUGUCCCAUUAUAUAUGCAAAUUCUUGUGUUGUUAAAACAUGUGAUUGUUUCUUUUCCUUUCUCCUAUAUAUUCUUGGCAACAAAUGUUAACUCUACUUGAGAAUUCAGUUUAGGUACUCAACUUUUCUUUUCAGUUUAGGCAACAAAUCUAUCUUUUGCACUGGAACUCAUGCAUGAUGGUGGGUUACUAAGUUUUAUUUCUUAGUUUCUCUUUUUGUAUCCCUUUUUCAAGCCACCAGAAUAUUUAGUGACAGGGAUAGAACUACAAGAGUAUUUUUUUCUAUUCAUUAAUUAUUUGAUAGUAUCCUACUCGAUAUCUUAGUGGAUGCAAUUUGUCAUAGUGUCAUGAACAAUUCUUUCAAGUGCAAGGCAAUUGCGUUCCUCCAUUCAUCUUCAAAAAUAGUAUUUUGUUUCUUUAUGACAAAUCUUUGACUAACAAUACAUAUAAUUCUUUGACACAAAUCGAUGUAAUUAUAUUCUUAUUUAAAUAAUACUCACUUAUGAUUAUAAGUUUUGUAUUAGAUAAAUGACAUAAUAAUGGUGUACUUGUCAGUCAAAUCUUUGUCCUAAAGAAACAAAAUACGUCUUAUAGUUUGUAAUGAUGAACGGAGGGUAGAUAGUAAGAUAUUGUAGAUAUGUAACUAGCCACUACUUCAAUUUUUAUUGGCAUCACAUGUGAGUGACCUAUGUGAUAAAGGCGACUAGUAGGAAGUAGCUUCAAAAAUCUUCUAUGCAACCAUUGUACUAUGCAUGAUGCAUCUACCAUGAAGCUUUAUCACAACACACGUGUACCAUAUUGAAAUCAUUGUUGUCCUAAUUAAAAAUUAUGCAAGUGAUAUCAAAUUAGAUCCCAAAUGUAUAAUAUCUGAUUAGUUUUUGCUUUAUAAUUGUGCUUAAUCAUACAAAAAAAUGGUCAUGAUAAACAGUUUUUUAACCAUUAUCUUAAAGGGUUACCAUAUACAAUUCAACUACCUACCGUAAAGUGAUAUUUUACAGUUUUCAAAGGAAGACCGUCUAUCAUUUGUAUGGCGCACAAAACAAAUAGCAUUAUGUUAACUAUCAAAUUUAAAAAAGAAGAAGAAGAAAGCCAUGACCAAUGCAUGCUUAAUAUUAUCUAAAUAUCUAAACUUGGAAGAAGCCUACCUCCUCCUCCUCUAGGACUGCCGGCCAUUGAAGCUAGCUCUGGAACCCAGAAUCCCUAACCAUAAUCCCGCCGACCUCGACCACCACCCUAGCCAGCGGUGACCUUGCUGCUGGCCGCUCCCCCUACCUCCCGCCCACUCCACUAGAUGACUCCUCGGCGGCACAGGAGGCAGCGGCGGCGCGGGCGCUGAGAAGAGGAACAAAGGAAGAGAAGGGGAUCGGAUGGUCUCUAGCUCGCGUACGCAUCUUAAAGCGGUAGAAGUCAAAUAACUAUCUAGCUUCCGAAAGCCAGAUAGGAAUACCGCUUUCUCCCCACUUUGGGCAAUUGGGCCCACUCUUGUGCUUCCACCCGAUCCAUCGCUCUGGCUAGAGCUGGAGACCCUUUGCCUUCCACCAUGGCCUUCCUUGACCUGAGCCAUCGCCAGAAGCCAGAGGAGACCAUUUGGGACCCCAUCUACCUAUGCUGAAACGAUCUGGGCAACUCCUACAAGGCUACAACGAUUGCCCUCUUUCAAUUCAGUGUUGAUAUGCCCAUGUUGCCAAAAACCCGAACUUCCAGGUCUUACGCACUAAAGUUGGUGGACUUGGCCUUGCAAUUUUGUCAAAACAAAACAGAACAUGCAGUUCCAAUUGAUAUGGGGAGAAAGGCCAUUUCGGAUGAUAUUUUUGGAUGGCUGCUGCAGAAAACUGUAGAACUGGACAAGUUCCUCUCACUGAAGUCAUCAACUAUAUCAAAGAUAGCUAGUUUCUUUAUUUAUUAUUUGAUAAAACAUUUGGCUAUAUAUAGCUGUUGUUGCCUGGCUGUUGAGGUACAUUCAUCAUCAGUUGAACUGUGUUCAGGGGUGUUUUUCUCGUAUAAUUAUUUGUGGAUGGAAGCAAAUCAUGUUGUAAAUUUGAGUGAUACUCGAAUUCAAAAUUCGUUCUUGAUACAAGGUUUAUGACUGAUGUCGUGAUGCACAUGUGUGGCCCUGUUUGGAUCCAUUAGUGCUAAUAGUUAGCAGCUAAUAUUAGUACUAAUUAAUGGAUUCAAAUAGGGCCUUACUAUUCGGCUAUGGUCCUGUUAAGUUGCAGAUGAUUAUGAUGGUAAGCGCUGCUUAGCUGAAUUACUGUAGCGUCUAAAUGGUACUGAUGCAAAGUUACAUACAUUCUUUGUUAUUUUGUGUUUUAGAAUUACAGACAUUCUUGUACUCCUCAAACUCCAUUUAGCUAUUUCAUUGGACAAUUGCUUGAACACAGGCUCUUUUAGAAUUGAUGUCAUUCACAGGAGAAGAUGGGAAGCUUGCUUGAAGAGUGGAGAAUCACAGGAGAAAAUGGGUAACGUGCACUCGCGCAGUGAGAACUGAGAAGCAUGGCCUUCUAUGUCCCUUUUUUUUGGGACAGCCUAUAUACUGUGGGCUGGGCUGGGAUUGCCAAGUAUCAAAGCUAGGCCUUUAAAGAUUGCAGCCCAUGGUGCAUUUGUACUCCUUUUAUUCGACAUACUCUCUCCGUUCAAAAAAAUAUCAUUCUAUGAAUUUUAAAAUAAGAAGGGAGAAUGAUCUUGUGUACCCCUAUUUAUUAGCUAUAUUUGGCGCUAAUUGAUAUCCGCAUGCGCAUACCAAAUAGGGUAAAACGACCUAUUUUUGGAUAAAUUUUGAAUCAUAGAAUGACAUGUUUUUUUGACGGAGGAAGUAAAAUUUUUUCCCUCGUGAAAUUAAAUGUGCUAUCUAUAUUUAGUGUGAUAAAUUGUCCAUUGCUGAUCCAAACUUAAAUUUCUUGCAACCACUAGUAGAGAAUUGGCCUUUAGUCCCGGUUGGUAGGGUGCAAAUUUCCCGAAAAUCCAUCCGGGAUAAACCAACCGGGACAAAAGGGGGGGUCUUUUGUCCCGGGUCACUCACCACGGCAGGUGCUGCAAAAAAAAAAAAGAAAUCCUAGGCUCCCAUUUCGCGCGUGCGCGCUGCGUAGGAUUCGAACCCAAAACUUCCAGCCUCACGCGUAGCUUCCUUGCCAUCCCACCUACACACCACAUCUGACUAUAUAGGGGAUGCUAUCCUUUUUGUAUUAACUCGUGGGGGACCCUUUUAUCCCGGUUGGAAACACCAAUCGGGAUAAAAGACCCCCUUUUAUCCCGGUUGGUAUUACAAACCGGGAUAAAAGGGUUCAAGGAAUUUAGCCCUCUUUCAGUCACCUCGUUGGGGACCCUUUUAUCCCGUUUGAAACACCAACCGGGAUAAAUGACCCCCUUUUAUCCCGGUUGGUAUUACAAACCGGGAUAAAAGGGUUGAGGCUCUCAACCCUUAGCCUCACACCAACCGGGAUAAAGGGGGGGUCUUUUAUCCCGGUUGGUGUUUCAAACCGGGAUAAAAGGCCUCUCAGAGUCUUUUUUUCCCACUAACCUUUGCAACCGGGAUAAAAGGUCCCAGUUGGUGAGCCCCCCCCACCAGUGAUCGAGCUUUAGUCCCGGUUGGUGAACCUUUUGUCCCGGGCCAACUUUAAACCGGAACAAAAGGGGGCGCAUCGAAAGCAAUUCUUUACUUAGUGAACUAAGCUAAGGACAAAGACUUCCGUUCAAAAAAAAAGACAAAGACUUAACUGAUGGAGCAACUAGAGGUGCUUAUAAGGCACUGUAUCUGCUUGCAACUUUGCACUAGAUCGAGAUUUUUACAUCAGCUGCUUCACCUUUUUAUUUGUGUUUCUUUCUACUACUGCAACCGAGUUGGUUUAUGGUAGACUGGUAUCAACGGUAACAGGUGAACAUUCCAGCUACAAGAUUUAAAUUAUAGAAGCUUGGGCGUUUAAUUUGGCCCAUGCGCUAGUUGUCAGAAGAGAGGGGAUCCAAUAUCGUCAAGUCAAACAGUGAGUACAGACCAUCUGAAAACAUCAAUAUAAUCUUGAUGACACGCGCUGUGAAGAAAUUAAGCAGUAAUGCUAAUGCAUGCAUGAAUUCGGCGACAAUACAGGUACUACAUAAUGCUGAGAAUGCUCCGUUCCCUAAGAGUGUAGUAACAGGUAAUUUACCAGCGGUACGGUCGUUACAAAAGUCUUAAAACGUAAUGGCCAAUUUAUCGCGGUAAUUCGUAUUUAAAGGCGCGCAAGUGCAAACCAGCAACUCAUACCACAGCAUAUGCCAGAAAUUCAUUUUCAAAACGAGAGAGAGAAAUGCUUCAAAAAAACGAGAGAGAGAGAGAGAGAGAGAGAGAGAGAGAGAGAGAGAGAGAGAGAGAGAGAGAGAGAGAGAGAGAGAGAGAGAGAGAGAGAGAGAGAGAGAGAGAGAGAGAGAGUUUUCAGAAGCGUCGCGCCAGCCAAGCUGAGGUCCAUGAACCGCGGAGAGGGUGGUGAGAAGGCCAUGGUGGAGAAGGGGAGCAUGUGCAGGAGCUAGCACAUUGGAGCAAGAAGCAAGCUUCCUCGCUCGCUUACUUUCGACCGGCCACACGCAGGUGCGCGUGAGUCCGCCGGCCGUGCUCCGGCGUGUCUCUACCUGCACGUGCCCUGCUUCUCCAACAGGGACCUUCUCACCAAGCACAAGAACGACACCGGCCGGCGUCAAGAGCUAAGCAAGGCCUCAACUACACUUCACUGUAUCUACUAGCAGCUAGCUUCAGAGAAUGAAUGUGAAUGGGAAGAUGCAGUGGAGAAUGUAUGCUGGUGGUGUGGGUUUAUAUAGGCGCGAAGCCGAGACCGCCGGCCGGCCUGGACAUAAACCAACCACACACACACACACAAACACGGGCAGGUGGUAGAGUCUUGAGCUGGGUUUGCGUGAGAAAGCGUGCGCCCAUCGAGUGCGGUGUGCAAGGUGCGACGCAAUGGCAAUGCCGCUAUGGGAGCGAGAGAUGGGAGUAGGUUACGGCCGGGGGCUCCCUUAGAUGUGACAGCAGUCAGUUUUUUUUUAUGGCCAUCUGUGACAUCAUGGCUCGCUUAUAAUAUUGCUAGUUUCAUGUCUGUUACGACAUUAAAAAAAACAGAGAAUAGAGAGUUGUGUCUAGCUUGCACCGGGUGUUUGGAAUUGCAGGUGAAAUGGGGAGCCCAAAAUUUGAGUGCCGUGGGAGUUUCAUAGAGAUUUCAUGCACGUUAAAUAUGGUGACAUAUCCAUAUAUGUAAUGACAUGGCAACACAAUUAUAAAGAGAGAGAGGUAAUGAGUUUUAUCGAGUUGUAUAUGCAUUGUUUCCAGUACUAUGAAUCCUGAUGAAACUGGCAUUGGGGGUCAAAGAGUUUCAUUUUAUCUGACCAUAUCCAAUCACAUGCCUUGCAAUUCACUACUAAAAAAAUAGUUUUCAUGGACGAUUGAAAUGACAAUUGAACGAGCGGGUGCGGUACCCGCUCCUGCUUUUUGCAGCUAGAAAUAUUUCUUUGCAAGAGCGGGUAAAACAUCCACCCUGGAAAACAAUUUCAUGGGGCGGGUGAGGGGUGACCCGCCCUUGGAAACCCCAUUUGCAGGGUGGGUAACCCCGUCACCCACCCCUAGUAACCGAUUAAACAAAAGAAAGAAAAAGAAAAAAGAAAAUGAAAAAAAGGAAAUUGGAGUGCCAGUUGCCGGGGCCACGCUGGCCAGCCUUGUCGCUAUGGUCGGGGUUGCCCGCGCAGGCCGUCCCCACCAUGGAGGUGGAGCCGCCUGCGGCGGCCAACCUCGUCGGGUCCGCUGCCGGGGUUGAGCCAGCCGGCCACUCGCGCCGCUGGGGCACAUGGCUCGCUCUGCCGGGUCCCGCCGGCUGCCUCUGCCGCAAGGGUCGAGGCUAGGGUGACUGCCACGCCGACCGCCUCCGCCGCGGGGACCGGUGCUGAGGGGGCUGCGUUGGCCGCCGGGGCUCCUCCGCGUGGGCACGCCGGAGAGGUAGGAGAGAGGAGAGAGAGGAGAUAGGGCCGCGAGUGAGAGGAGAGGUAGGAGAGAAGAGGGAGAGGGAGGAGAUAAGGUUGACUGGUUGAGAAGGAAGGGUGGGAGGAGAGUUUGGCCAAUAGGAAUGCUUAGUUUCGGAGUUGUGGAUCGAUGAUGUGGCAAAUGUAUUUCUUCUCUAAACUUAUAAUACAUUUUUGGACCACUAAACAAUCUUAAUGAAAAAGUUCUCAACUAAAAAUUUUUCUUACUGAAAAAGUUCUCAACUGCAAUUUUUAAAAUCUCAUCGAGCUCUACAAUUUUAAUAUAAAGUUUGUAUUCAUCUGAGAUUGUAUGCAAAAGUUUGUAUUCAAAAAAUACAACCUUUAAACUUAAUCCUUCCAAUCCUUAGCAUCAAAUGAAAAACUUGUACGUUUGUGUUGUUGUCAAGAUUAACGGAUCAAGACUACAGCUAGAAAAUUUUCUUUUACGCGCGUAAGGCCUCGGAUGGUGGCGUAGGGAGACACGAGGUUAGACUGGUUUGGGUGAGGAAAGCCCUACGUCCAGUAUGAGGAGCUGCUCGUGUUACCCACGCGGGGUCUGUAGUAGGGGUUACAAACGGGCGAGAGAGGGAGCCGGUCCUAAGUCUCUUGGGUGUGCACUGAUGCUCGUUAGGUGAGUGUGUGGGUUCUGUUGGCUUGAGAGUCCUCCCGGUCUCAGGGCCCCUGGUUCUCCUUUUAUAGCGCAAGGAGGGUUCAGGGUUACAGGCGAGACUGGGUGUUAGGAGAAGUAAAAGAGAUAAGCUAAGUGAAGUAAAGUACAAGGAGAAGGACCAAGUUCCCGAGUCGCCGCCUCCUGCUCCGGCCUUCGACUCCUGUCAGCGCAGCCACCGGAGGAGGGUGGCUGCCGCCGGAUCCUGUCGCCGAUCCUCCAGGCGACCGUCGCCGCCGGGCAUGAUGAUGGUGUCCGGUCGUGGUAACUGUGCACGUUGGGGGAGACGGCUGACCCCUGUUGUCUUGCUUACAUCCCGUGGAACACGGAUGUCACGUCCCUGUCGCCGGAUACGCUGGGCACGAGAACGGGCAGCGCUCCCUCCUGUGUCGGGCGACGCAUGCUAUGAGUGCCCUAUGGCGAAUCAGGGGGAGCCGUGCCCACUGUAGCCUGUGCGGUCGUGGCUACAGUGUUCCGCCCGGUUACUUGUGGCGGGUCAUGUCGUGGGGUGCGGGCGCCUUUCUGCGCGCCAGAGCCAUGGCGCAUUUAUGGCAAGAUCGGUGGGGGACCCACGAGAUCCGCGCCCUCGUCUGCCGGCCUACGCCCGAGGUGGACCAUUGUAUUGUGGGCCCGAAUGAGUCCGACCCCCUACGCCUAGGGUCAGGCGAGGCGGAGCCUUGCAGCAAGGGGUCAGGCGCACCCAACCCUGGGACCGUGGGUCGGGCGAGGCAGAGUUUCGCCAUCGAGGGGUCGGGAGUGUCCGACCCAGGGCCCUGGGUUGGGCGAGACGGAGAGGGAUGUUCCCUGUCCAUGCUGGGUCUGCGGUAAUCAUCGUUACCGCAGGUGGGCCUGGGCCUUCAUGAUUGUUGUUUUAAGGGGCAUUAGCAAGUCGUUAACGUUUCCCCCCAACAGUAGCCCCCGAGCCUGUGGUGGAGCAAGGAUGCUCCUCCAGAGGCUGCUUUCGUCGUUCAUCGGGGAUCUUUACUUGCCCUUCGAGCUGCAGUUAAUCAGAGAUAGGGAGUGUUGUUUGCUCAGCUUGGCUGGGGAGAUUGAUCAGGCGAGAUGUCCUGUGGAUGGCUUGGCGUGGGAGGAUUUCUUAUUGUUCCGUAGGGCACUCUCGCCUCGAGACUUCAAAUCGCGACCAUCCGCGUGGUCAUUGGUGCGAUGCUAGCCCCCGAGCCCCCGCGCGUUGCAGGAGACCGAUCAGGAGGCUAGGUCGACUUUUGAUCGUUACCCCUCAAGCGUCCGUUCGCUGAGAUGGAGGGGGUGAGCCGUGCCAUGCUAUUCUCGCCGGACGAACCGUGGUCCUCGUUGAGCUGGAAACGGGUUGAUUCGAGUGGGGUCCCGAUCCCCGUUCGGGGGGGGGGGGGGGUCCGGCUUGGGCCAAGCUAGUGGCGUACCCCAGAUUCCGUCCGGCCAGUUCAUAUAGUUCCUGAGUCUGUUCGAUCGGAUACGGGGGCUCGUUGCCUUUCUUUGGGGAAAACCCAUGAACUUUGAUGCCAGUUCGGACUCGAACGUGAGGUCGGGAUGCCCUAGACUGUCAUGCGCCCGGGUGAUGGCCGCUAGCGGACCCGUCCCUUCUCACCCCUCGCUCGGGGUUAUCCUGGGGUGGUUGUUGAACCUGUAGUGGGCCAGCCUUCGAACCCCUGGACUGUAAUGGGCCGUAGGGGCGUUUUCGGCCCCAUAUCCCUUUCUUACCUAUUGGUGGGCCCUAGGCUGGACGUGGAGGAGGUUGUGCGCGUGCGUUCUCCGGGAGGCGAAGUGGGGGAAGAUGUUGGCCCGCAAAACAAGGGAGGAGGGGAUGUUUUCCUGCAGCAGGUCGUGCGCACGACUUCCCAAAAAGGUGGGCGUGACGGGGUGUACCUGGCGCUGCAUUUACUGCGAUGGGCCCACCUAUUCCGCUUCCCACGCGCCUCCCUAUAAGACGGGGGGUCUGCCUCGCCGAUUCUGCCCACACCUGUUCUCAAACUUUUUCGCCUUCUCGCGCGCCCUUUGCCUUCUUGCGUGCUGUUCGCCUUCCUCAGCCUAGCGCAGCAGCUUCCCUCGCCCUCUGCCGUCGAACCUUUCUCCCCUUCACGAUGGAGUCCUGGACGCGCUCAAGCUUCGGUACCUCGCGCGCCGACGACCUCAUGAGGAAAGGCCUCCUCUGCGAGAGGACCAAGGGAGACGAAUAGUGGUUCCCCGAGAGGGAAGAUGUGCCGAAUCCACCCGCCGGCUACGUCGUUUCGUUUGCCCGCUUCCACGAGAGGGGGUUCGCGACCCCGCCGAGCCGCUGCUUCCGCGGGCUACUGCACUACUACGGGCUCGAGCUGCAACAUCUCAAUCCCAAUGGGAUCCAACACAUCGUGGCGUUCAUCGCGUUUUGCGAGGGGUUCCUGGGCAUCGAGCCCAACUUCUCGCUCUGGAAGUACUUCUUCGCAGUCAGCUUGUACCAGAGGGUCGAGAAGAAGGGGAGCCAGCAGCGAGCGACUCCGGUGCCGAUAGGGUGCACCGCCAUCCACCUCCGCCAGAACCGUGCCAAGGAGUAUAUGGCGAUAAAGACCGCGGCGUCCCACAAGGGGUGGCAUCAGCAGUGGUUCUACGUGAAGAACUACUCCAAUUCCCCCUUGCCGACGUUCACGGGCCGCGUCAUCAAAGCGGUGCUGGAGCUAUGGUCGUACGGCCCGGUUGAAAAGGAGAAGAAGCGGAUCACCGGUCUGCUUCAGGCCAUCGAGCACCUAAAGGGAAAGGGCCUGACCGGGGCUGGAGUCAUCGGGGCAUACCACGCUCGGAGGGUGGCGUCACUGAUGCUCCGGGUUCGCUCACUCGCCGACAUGGUUCCCGGCGUGCCGACCGAGGGCACCGUUCUUGCGAUGGGCGCGCUCGCUGACACUGAGAUCCGGCAGCGAGUUGAGGAGGCACUGGACGACAAGGACGUCGAUUGUUCGGUGCCCGGUCACCCCCCGAUGCGCCCGGAUGAGAAUUUCGUCGAGCUGGUGAGGACUUCGCGCUCCCAUCUCUCUCUCCUGCAUUUCUUGGUUCGUUGCUCUGACACAGAGUUUUCGUAUCCGCAGGGCCACAUGACCCAAGUCGUGGACUCGCGCCCGUCGGUGCCAGAGGACGCGGAGCGGCGUCAGCAGAACCGCCUCUUCACCGAGAAGCAGAAGAGGCGUAAGGACAAGGAGACAGCGAAGAAGAAGAAGAAGGCUACCAAGGAGCUUCAACGGUGGCAGCGGGGCAGGGUCGUGUCGGACGACGACGACGAUGACGAUGAGGAUGAGAAGGAGGAGGAGGAGGAGGAGGAGUAUAUUCUGGCCCCCCAGCCGGGCGCACUCGUUAUCCGGGAGCAGCACUCCCAAACGGCCGCGAGGGACAAGGCGAGCGGACCGCCUGCCCAGGACCCGACCCCGCAAGGCUCUGGAGCCGCGCCCCCGGGGUCAGCGCGGGGCGUGCCUUGGGAGUCGACGGAGCCGACCCCCGACCCUCUGCCUGCAUCCCGCGAGCAGAGGAGUAGCGGCAAGCGGCCGCUGCUAGAUGCCUCGGGGUCGGCGUCGAGCUCAGAGGCGAAACACGCCCGUUGUCCUCGCGCUGAGGGAGUGUAAGUGGAAAUUCCUUGCGCAUCUUAUUUCUGCCCCGGCAUCGAGCCGUUUUUGAUGAUGUUGUUUGUUGUUUCACAGCGCCGCCCCUCCGGACUUCGUCCCGCCGCUGGCACCGAAGAAGGUGUUGCGGGUGUCGUCCACCUCCACGGGGCGAGCCGCGACCCCGUCGGCGGCGAGCGACGGUGUCGCCGGGGAGACUGCGGAGCCUACCGCGGAGGCGGCCCCUACGGCGGCAACCGGAGGAAGGGUGCCGCAGCCGGGCUCAAGGAAGGGUCCGACCCCUGCUCCGCCUUCUGCCUCCGCGGCUGACCCUGCGGGACAAGGUGUUGCCCCUGGGGUGCCGCCGACCGGCGAGGUGAUAGACCUCGACGACGAGGCGGAGGAGGAGCCCGUGGCUCCAGCGGCAACGGCGGCAGCGGAGAUGAGGGCAGUUGCCCCAGUGACCGCGACGGAGACGGCGGCAACAGCGGAGGAGGGAACGUCUGCCCCCGCGGUGGCGAUGAGGACAGCGGCGGCGGUGGAGGCGGGGACACCUACUCCAGCGGCUGCGACGGAGACGCCGGUGGUGGCGGGGGCAGGGACGCCUACUCUAGCAGCCGCGACGGAGGUGGGGACGCCUACCCCAGCGGCCACGACGGGGGCCGCGACGGCGGCGAGAAUGGGAACGCCCGCUCCGGCAGCCGCGACGGAGACAGUGACGCAUGUGCCAGGGCCAUCGACGAGACCGACGGCAUUAGGGGUGGUGGCGCCUGCCCCGACGGCGACGUCGGGCUCGGCCAGAGCGGCUCCCACCCUUAUCCCGGUUAAUCCCAUCCCGAAGGCGUGGGGUGGGCCUAACCUGCGCUGGAGGUCAUGCGAUGACCCGCAGAGACCCCUCUUCGUGCUGGACGACGCCAAGGAGUGGGGCAAGUGGCAUGCGGUGCAGGGCGGGCUUGCGAAUGUCUGCGCUGCCCUGUCUUCUGCGAUGGGGGAGCUGGACGGCGUCGUCGUCCCCGGUGGCCAGGUGCGGUGUUUUCCCUGAUGGUUGUUUUCCUCUCGUUCCUCCGUUGCUGAGCAUAAUUUGUUUUAUAGGCCCUCCAGGAAUGCAGCUAGGGGAAAUCCGAUUUCCUCUGGCUCGAGCGGGGGCUCUGGGAUCGCUUCUCCGUGGAGAGGCAGCAGACCGGGGAGCUGACCGCGCAGGUCGCCGCCGCUCAGCAGGUCAUCACCGACUUGCGCAAGCGCGAGCAGGCAGCGCGGGAGGACGCGCGGCGGGCGGAGGACAAGUUCCAGGCUGUCGUCGAGAAGGCUCGCCUCGAUCUCAAGGAGUUCUAGGCUGCUGCCGAGAAGGCCCGCCACAAUGCCGAGGAGCUCGCACGGCUGAAGGGGGACUACGAGGCCCUUCAGAAAACCGUCGAGCGUAUCCAGCACGAGCGGCAGAAGGCUUGGCAGGAGCGGGGCUCCGAGGCGAUCUGGAAGGCUGAGGCCGAGAAGAUAGCGACCGAGCUUGGGGCGGAGGUCAGUCAGCUCCACGUGUGAGUGCAGGGGCUUCAGACCGUCGUGGCCCACGGGCUCGACCGGGAGCGUGAGCUAAAGGCUCAAUCCGAGAGUAAGGCUCUUCUCAUUUCUUUGCUUUUGCGGUGUUGCGAUGGUUUCUGACUUGGUGGACUUUUGUGGAUGGACCUUACAGAUGACCUCGCCCGGUUGAGGGAGAUCCUCGAAGCAAAGCGCGCUGAGCAUGGCAACCUGCGGGACGCGGUCCGCGUUGUCUGCGAUGGCCUCGGCGUGGUCCAGGGGAGGGGACGAGUUCGUUGGCGGCUCGUGUCCUUGGGGCGUACCGACGGGCCUGUGAGAUCGCUCGGGAGGCACUUCACGUCGGCGUGAGGCAAGCCUUCAGCGUCUUUGGCUCCCACUACUCCUUAAUCAACUUCGCUGGGAUGAGCGGGUAUGCCUCCGGCUACUCCAAGGCCGAGCUGGACGAGAUCGACGCAUCGGUGCUCAACCCAGCGGAGGCCUUGGCGAAGCUUCUGGAGGAUGAGGCCAUCCCGUCGGAGGACCUGGGGACGAGUUAGCUGCGUCGGGCUUAGAUGCCCCAGAAUAUGUAAAUAUGUUAGUCAACUUUGAACUUGAUUUUGUGAUGGCCGCAGAGGCCUUUUCUAGAACUUGUUGAAAAAAGUUUUCGAUCCUCUUUCUUGUUUUUUGGGUUUGGAAAGUUUAGAGUGUGGGUCGGGCGCGUCAGUAAGCGUUGAUGAGCGAAGGCACCGUAGCCGCUGGGGCGUAGGUUUUUCGCAGUCCGAUCAGUCUUGCCUGAGCGUUGUUCUUGCACUCUUUCCUUUUCACGCCCAAACGUUUUAGGAAGAGAAUCGGCUCGGAGAAAUGGUGUUUUGAGAAUACGUUAAGUGACUUGGGCCGGAGCCCCUGAUAGCCCCCGAGGGAUAUGCGACCCUGGGGCAGAGCCAAGGUCGGAUAUCCCUGAGUUUGGCACGAAACUUGAACGGGAUCGACUCAAAACUGCCCUUUUCCGUGAAUUAACAAGUUACAAAAGUAUGUAUGUACAAGCUUGGAAACAAUAACUAAGGGUAGAAGUGUCUUAGCUGCUCUAUGUUCCAAGCGUUGGUGAAGAUCUGCCCGUCGGGGGUCGCCAGCUUGUACGUGCCUGGUCACAGUACUUGCGCGAUGAUGAAGGGACCUUCCCAUGGAGGGGUCAGCUUGUGCCGGCCUCGGUUGUCCUGGACGAGGCGAAGCACCAGGUCACCGACGUUGAAGGCUCGACCUCGUACCUUGCGGCUGUUGUAUCGUCGUAAGGCCUGCUAGUACUUGGCUGAGUGCAGCAGGGCUACAUUGCGCGCUUCGUCGAGCUGGUCUUGCAUGUCCUCAAGUGAUGCCUGAUUCCCUUGCUCAUCGUACGCCUUGACCCUCAGCGACCCGUACUCCAGGUCUGUGGGGAGGAUUGCCUCGAACUCGUAGAAAAUGAAGAACGGGGUAAAGCUCGUCGCCCUACUGGGGGUCGUCCUUAGACUCCAUAGGACCGCAGGGAGCUCCGUGACCCACCGGCCGCUGAACUUCUUGAGGCGGUCGAAGAUCCGUAGCUUGAGACCCUGGAGUAUCAUGCCGUUAGCCCGCUCGACCUGCCCGUUCGUGCGGGGGUGUGCCACGGCCGACCAGUCCACUCGGAUGUGGUGGUCGUCGCAGAACUUGAGGAACUUGUUCCCAGUGAACUGCGUGCCGUUGUCCGUGAUGAUGGAGUUGGGGACUCCGAAGCGAUGGAUGAUGUCAGUGAAGAAUUGUACCGCCUGCUUGGAUUUGAUCUGCGUGACAGGUCAUGCCUCGAUCCACUUUGAGAACUUGUCGAUGGCAACAAGCAAGUGGGUGAAGCCCCCGGGCGUCUUCUUGAAGGGUCCGACGAGGUCUAGUCCCCAGACCGUGAAGGGCCAUGUGAUGGGGAUGGUCUGGAGCGCCUGGGCGGGCAGAUGGGUUUGGUGCGCGAACAAUUGGCACCCCUCGUAGGUGCGCACCACGUGGGUGGCGUCGGCUACUGCCGUCGGCCAGUACAAGCCCUGUCGGAAGGCGUUGCCGAUGAGGGUUCUUGGUGUGGCGUGGUGGCUGUAGGCUCCGGCGUGGAUGUCCUGAAUCAACGCCUUCCCCUACUCGAUCGGGAUGCAGCGCUGGAGGAUGCCGGUGUGGCUCCGCUUGUAGAGCUCCUGGUCGAUGAUGACAAAGGAUUUGGCGCGAUGUGCAAUCCUGUGUGCCUCUGUCUUGUUCGUCGGGAGCGUCUCGCGGAUGAGGUAGUCGAGGUACGGGGCUCUCCAGUCAGGCGGGGGGUCGGGCUCUUCUGCCGGGUUUGCGUCGAUCUCCAUGACUUCGGGGUUGGAGGGGUCGACCUCCGGGUCCAGGCCAGAUGGAGAGUCGCCGACCUUUCCAAGGUCGGCGUCCGAGUCCGGGACAGGUGGUGCGUUGCCAACCUCUUCCGGGUCGGCGCCCGAGUCCGGGGUGGGUGGCGCAUCGCCGACCCUUCCCGGCUCCUUGUAACGAAUCGAGGGCUGGUAUUGGUCGCUGAUGAAGAUGCCGUCGGGGACGGGCUUUCGGCCGGAUGCCGCCUUUGCCAGUUCAUCAACUGCCUUGUUGAAACGCCUUGCGACGUGGUUGAUCUCUAGUCCGUUGAACUUGUCUUCGAGCUUGCGGACUUCGUUGUAGUACGCCGCCAUCUUGGGGUCGUGGCAGCUCCACUCCUUCAUGACUUGUUCGACGUUAGCUGAGAGUCACCUCGGAUGUCCAGCCGCCGGAUGCCCAGCUCGAUGGCGAUGCGAAGCCUGUUGAGGAGAGCCUCGUACUCAGCGACAUUGUUAGAUGCAGGAAAAUGGAGGCGAAUCAUGUACCUCAUGCGCAGGCCGAGAGGAGAGACGAACACCAGACCCGCUCUGGCGCGAGCCUUCAUCAACGAUCCAUCGAAGUACAUCGUCCAGUACUCCUUCUUCUCCGGCUCCGAUGGCAUCUGGAUCUCCGUCCACUUCGCAACAAAAUCGGCGAGCACUUGGGACUUGAUGGCUGUACGGGAGGCGUAAGUGAUGCCCUGGUCCAUGAGCUCGAGCACUACCACUUCGCGAUCCGUCCUGUGGCGUCUUGAUUCCGGAUUACCUCGCCGAGAGGGAAUGAUGAGACGACCGUCACGGGAUGAGUGGUGAAGUAGUGGCGCAACUUCCUCUUCGUGAUGAGGACGGCAUAGAUGAGCUUCUGGAUCUGCGAGUAGCAGACCUUGGACUCGAACAAGACCUCACUAAUGAAGUAUACCGGGCGCUGCACCUUGAGGGCAUGUCCCUCCUCUUCUCACUCCACCACUAGGGCCGCGCUAACCACCUGGGUGGUCACCGCGAUGUAGAGUAGGAGUGGCUCCCUGUCGGUCGGCGGGACCAAGAUCGGGGCCUUUGUCAGGAGGUUCUCGAGCCGGUCAAGCGCCUCGUGGGCCUCGGUGGUCCACACAAAGCGGUCGGUCUUCUUCAGGACUCGGUAGAGGGGGAUCCCCCGUUCGCCGAGGUGCGAGAUGAAGCGGCUCAGGACCGCCAGGCACCCCAUGACGCGCUGAACUCCCUUUAUGUUUCGAAUCGGCCCCAUGUCGCUGAUGGCCGCUAUUUUCUCCGGGUUGGCUUCGAUCCCGCGCACGGAGACAAUGAAAGCCAGAAGCAUGCCCCUCGGAACCCCAAAAACGCACUUUUCAGGGUUGAGUUUGAUGUGCAUGUCUCUUAGCCAUUCAAAGGCUAGUUCGAGGUCGGGGAUGAACUGGUCGCCCUUCCUGGACUUGACUAUGAUGUCAUCGACGUAAGCCUCAACGGUUUGCCUGAUGAGGUCCCCGAAACACUUAAGCAUGCAUCGCUGGAAUGUAGCCCCCACGUUUUUGAGGCCGAACGGCAUCUUAACGUAGCAAUAGGGGCCGAAAGAGGUGAUGAAAGAGGUCGCGAGCUGGUCGGACUCUUUCAUCGCGAUCUGAUGGUAGCCGGAAUACGCGUCAAGGAAGCUAAGGGUUUCGCACCCUGAGGUUGAGUCGACUAUCUGAUCUAUACGUGGCAAAGGAAACGGAUCCUUUGGACAUGCCUUGUUGAGACCGGUAUAAUCAACACACAUCCUCCAUUUCCCAUUCUUUUUUCGUACAAGAACAGGAUUAGCUAGCCACUCGGGGUGGUACACUUCCUUGAUGAAUCCAGCCACCAAAAGCUUCUGAAGCUCCUCGCUGAUGGCCUUGCGCCUCUCCUCGUCGAAGCGUCGCAAGCCUUGCUUCACUGGUUUGGAGCCGGCCUUGAUGUUCAAGGAGUGCUCGACGACUUCCCUUGGGAUGCUAGGCAUGUCCGAGGGUUUCCACGCGAAAACAUCGCUGUUCGUGCGGAGGAAGUCGACGACCGCGCUUUCCUAUUUGGGAGAUUGGGCAGCGCCUAUCCGUACGGUCUUGCCGUCGGAACUGCUGGGGUCGAGGGGGACCUCCUUGACGCCUUCGGUGGCUUCGAAGGAGGUGUCGGAUUGCUUGGAGUCGGGCAGGUCCUCGGCGCUCUCCGCGAGCUGGACCGCGGGGUCCUCCGUGCAGGUGAUGGCUGCGGCAUACUCGCAGCACUCUACAUCGCACUCGUACGCCUUCUGGAAAGACGUGCCGACGGUGAUGACCCCGUUGGGCCCCAGCAGCUUGAGCUUGAGGUAGGUGUAGUUGGGGAUGGCCAUGAACUUGGUGUAGCACGGCCGCCCCUAUUAGGAUACGAGGUAGGCUACACUAGCGCAAAUCAAAAUUUCUACCGCGUAAAACCAGGAAGAACUACCGUAUAAGGAUCACGGGAUUACCACUCGACGCACUACUGGUGCGGAAGAUGUAGAUUUUGCGUCGAUGCAGCGACGACGAUCAAUGUAGUCGUACUUAGUCGAUCAACGUAGUCGUACAUAGUCGAUCACGUCAACGUCCAGCAGCUCCUCAGCAGCUCGUCCACGUGCAGCAAGAUCGCCCUCAUGCCGCGGCUCGUCGUCGGCUCGUCAUGGCUCGUCGGCGGCUCGUCCAAGUGCUACAGGCGCAACACCUCCAAGGUAUCCACACGUACAGGGAGGAAGCGUCGCAAGCCGGACUGCUAGAUCCGCGAGUUGCAACAGGCAAGGGCGUGGGAGGCGCGGCAGAUGUGUUUCGCCAAAAGGUGUAAACCCUAGGGCACCCCUACCCGUCUAUUUAUAGAGGUUCCUAAUGGGUCUCUAGGUCCGAGGCCCAUUAGUACUUCUAAACCUAAUCCAACUCGGAUCACAUCCGAAUUGGGCUUCCAGCCCCUUAAGUGUGUGACCCUAUGGGUUCGGAUACGUAUAGACAUGGCCCGAGUACUCCUACUCGGCCCAAUAGUUGGUAGCGGCCUCUAGCAAGACGUGCCAACUCCUAUACGCACACGAAGAUCAUAUCAGACAAACCAUCACAACAUAAUAUACAUGCUAUUCCCUUUGCCUCAUGAUAUUUGGUCUAGCUUCAAGCCGACCGGUCUUUCUCGAUCCUGUGAUUCGGAAUCCGUUUGUAGGUUAACUCUUAACCGUACGUAUCAUGGCCAUGCAUUUUCGGAUCCGAUCACUCGAGGGGCCCAGAGAUAUCACUCUCAAUCAGGGAGGGGCAAAUCCCAUCUUGAUUGACCAUGUCUCAUAGCAUGCUUCUUGACAAACCCGAAAGCUACCUUUAUAACUACCCUGUUACGGCGUAGCGUUUGAUAGCCCCUAAGUAGGUCGAUCCACAUCUUGAAUACAUGCGACAAUCUCAGGUCUAAGGACAAAGCGUAUAUGUUGUUUAAAGAGAGAACUACUUCUCGUGUUGGGUCAGUCCUAGCACAUGUCUCCACAUGUGUCCACAUUAUUAGUUCAACAUCUCCAUGUCCAUGACUUGUGAAACAUAGUCAUCAACUAAUACAUGUGCUAGUCUAAUAUUCAUGUGUGUCCUCACAUGAACUCCGACUAGGGACAACUUUAGAAUAACCAUACAAGUAAAGAGUUUCACAUACAAUUCACAUAAUUGCAAAUCAAUUCAAGUAGCCUUUAAUGGAUAUUCAAUGAACACAAUAUACAAAUCAUGGAUACAAAUGGAAUAUCAUCAUCUCUAUGAUUGCCUCUAGGGCAUACCUCCAACAGCCCCAAGAUGGCGUGGUAGGUUCCACGGAAACCCACUACCUCGAAGGUGAGGAUCUCCUUCCUAUAGUUAGAAGGAGUCCCGAAAGUGACGAGCAGGUCGAUCUGCCCCAGAGGCAUCGCCCGUUUCCCCGGCACGAUGUCGUGGAAUGGUGCCUCGCUGGGGCGGAGGCGGGAGCGGUCGAUCCCCAUGGUGUCGAGAGUCUCGGCGUAGAGGAUGUUGAGGCCGCUGCCUCCGUCCAUGAGCACCUUGGUGAGGCGCGUCGUGCCGACAAUGGGGUCGACGACGAGCGGGUAGCGUCCUGGCUGCAGGAUGUGCCCCGGGUUUUCGGACCGGUCAAAGGUGAUGGCGGGUUUCGACCAAUCGAGGAAGGCCGGUGUAGCGGGCUCGGCCACGCAGACCUUGCGUCGCUCCAGCUUCCAGCGGCGCUUGGAGUCGUAAGCCGCUGGCCCGCCGAAGAUCAUGAAGGAGCCGUCCACCUUGGGAAAGCCGUCUUCCUUCUCCUCGUCAUCCUUCUUCUCCUCCUCGGGCUUUCGUCUCCGAUCGCCCUUCACUGGGUUGCCUACAAAAUACCUCUUCAUGAGGUUGCAUUCUUUGUCGGCGUGCUUAGCGGGGAACUCGUGGUUCGGGCACGGUCCCUCGAGCAGCUUGUUGAAGAAGCCGGGGGUGCCCUCAGGGGGCGGCUGUCCCCACUUGCGCUCAGCAACGGCUACGAGGGGGGCCUUGCGCCGCUGCUUGUUCUUCUUCUUUUGCUGGCGGUUGGAGGUGCCCUCGUCGGUGUCCUCCUCCCGCUUCGCCUUGCCUUUGGAACGAUCAAAGAUCACCCUGACAGCCUCUUCGCCCAAGGUGAAGCUGGUGGCAAUGUUGAGGAGCUCCUCCGUGGUCCGCGGGCCCCUGCAUCCCAGCUCGUGGACAAGGGGCCAGCAGGAAGUUCCUGCCAGGAAAGCUCCUAUGACGUCAGCGUCCGCGACGUUAGAGAGCUCGAUGCGCUUCCUGGAGAAAUGUCGGAUGUAGUCCCGGAGGAACUCGUCUGACCCCUGGCGGCAGCUCCUGAGGUCCCAGGAAUUGGCAGGGCGCAUGUACGUGCCCUGGAAGUUCCCCUCGAAGAUCUCCUUCAGGUCGUUCCAGCUACGGAUCCGACCCCAAGGGAUGUGUUCCAGCCAGGCUCGCACCGAGUCAGCCAGAAAGAGCGGGAGAUUGCGGAUGAUGAACAGAUCGUCAUCCGCCCCAUCGGCCUAACAUGCAAGUCAAUAGUCACUGAGCCACAACCCGGGGUUUGUCUCCCCGGAAUACUUGGCCACAUUCGUGGGCUGCCUAAAGCGCGCCGGGAAUGGCGCGUUCAGGAUACGUGUGGAGAAGGCCCUGGGCCCCGCUGGGUCGGGGCUCGGGCUGCGAUCUUCUUCGCUGUCGUAGUGGCCACCACGGUGGACAUGAUAGCCGUGGUCCACUCCAUCCUUCCUGUCCACGCGGGAGUGUCUUCGCGCGUCCAGAGUGUCGCAGGCAUCAUGGACGGGACCGAUGCGCCGGUGAACGGACUGAGCCCUGCCUCCUGCGGGUGGCGGUGUCCGUCGAGCGUGCGCGACCCGGUUCGACCUAGGGGGAGGCUGGUCGACAGACUCCCCCUGCCUCUCAGGAGGUGUAGUGGGCGCUGCCCUGCUGGCGUUUUGCCCGCAUCGUCGGGACGCGGAGCUCUCUGUCUGCUGGACGACGGCGCACUCGAGCAGGUUGCGCACCUCCUGGUGCACCUGACGCUCCUCGGGCGUCGCCGGCUCAGGGAGUUGUCAGAGUAGGGCCGCCGCUGCGGCAAUAUUCUGGCUGGCGCGGGCGAAGAGCUGAGGGUGAUCUUCGUCCGUGCAAAUGCGUUGCUAGAUGUUGCGCGCCCGUUGUCGUGCCCCGCCUUCGUUGUGGGGGCCCUCAAGCUCCUACUGGGGUGCCGCGCGCACCUCCGGCUGUCGUGGCCGUACCGGGACCCUGGCAAGAGCCCUAGUCCUAGCUGCGGCGCGCGAUGGGGGAGUGCGCUGCCCCCCUUCGGCGCUGUCAUCAUUGCGUCCCCCGGAGUGCGCGUCGGCCAUGAAGCACUCGCGCGAGAGGUGGUGGCUCCCGUUGUUGGAGCCGGCGUCGGAGGUUGUCCUCGCCACGCCCACGAGCUCGUUGCUCGCGGGCGGCACGUUCAUGGACCACGCCAGGAGAUGACCGUAGGUCGCCACGGCAUUACGUAGCCCGAAGGGCCACUCCUCUGAAGGGGACCCCAUGGCGCGUGCCCAGCCGCUCGCCACUAUCCCGGCGGCGGAGCCAGAGAUGACGAGGCGAGCAGGAAAGAUAAGGAGAGGGAUCAGCUCGAUCCCCUCCCCCGUGGCGAGGAAGUCCAAGCUCCCGAAGCGGAUGAGGGAGCCUGAAGCGAAGCUGGCGUCGUGGCUGGCCAUCUGAAGCCGGUGAUGUACGCGCAAAGGCCCCUACCUGGCGCGCCAAUUGUCGUUGUCAAGAUUAACGGAUCAAGACUACGGCUAGUAAAUUUCUUUUAUGCGUGUAAGGCUUUGGAUGGUGGCGUGGGGAGACACGGGGUUAGACUGGUUCGGGCGAGAAAAGCCCAACGUCCAGUAUAAGGAGCUGCUCGUGUUACCCACGCGGGGUCUGUAGUAGGGAUUACAAACGGACGAGAGAGGGAGCCGGUCCCAAGUCUCUUGGGUGUGCACUGAUGCUCAUGAGGUGAGUGUGUGGGUUCUGUUGGCUUGAGAGUCCUCCCGAUCUCGGGGCCCCUGGUUCUCCUUUUAUAGCGCAAGGAGGGUUCAGGGUUACAGGCGAGACUGGGUGUCAGGAGGAGUAAAAGAGAUAAGCUAAGUGAAGUAAAGUACAAGGAGAAGGACCAAGUUCCCGAGUCGCCGCCUCCUGCUCCGGCCUUCGACUCCUGUCAGCGCAGCCACCGGAGGAGGGCGGCUGCCGCCGGAUCCUGUCGCCGAUCCUCCGGGCGACCGUCGCCGCCGGGCAUGAUGAUGGUGUCCGGUCGUGGCAACUGUGCACGUUGGGGGAGACGGCUGACCCCUGUUGUCCUGCUUACGUCCCGUGGAACACGAACAUCACGUCCCUGUCGCCGGAUACGCUGGGCGCGAGAACGGGCGGCGCUCCCUACUGUGCCGGGUGGCGCAUGCUAUAAGUGCCCUAUGGCGAAUCAGGGGGAGCCGCGACCACUGUAGCCUAUGCGGUCGUGGCUACAGUGUUCCGCCCGGGUACUUGUGGCGGGUCACGUCGAGGGGCGCAGGCGCCUUUCUACGCGCUAGAGCCGCAGCACAUUUGUGGCAAGAUCGGUGGGGGGCCCACGAGAUCCGCGCCCUCGUCUGCCGGCCUGCGCCCGAGGCGGACCAUUGUCUUGUGGGCCCGGAUGAGUCCGACCCCUACGCCCAGGGUCAGGCGAGGCGGAGCCCUGCAGCGAGGGGUCGGGCGCACCCGACCCUGGGAUUGUCGGUCGGGCGAGGCGGAGUUUCACCAUCGAGGGGUCGGGAGUGUCCGACCCCAGGGCCCUGGGUCGGGCGAGACGGAGCGGGAUAUUCCCUGCCCAUGCUGGGUCGGUGGUAAUCAUCAUUACCGCAUGUGGGCCUGGGCCUUCAUGAUUGUUAUUUUAAGGGGCAUUAUGAGGUCGUUAACGUUUCCCCCCAACAGUUUGUGACCACCAAAUGAUCUCAAAUGAAAAAUUUGUCGACUACAAAGUUUUACAUCUCGUCUAGCUGUACCACUUUUAUACAAAGAGCUUCUUCUCUUUAUCUGAAGUCAUUUGAAAAAUUCAAAAAUUGUAUAUUUCAAAACUAGAGAACAUAUAAUAAUAUUUUGAAGUAUUAAAAAAUCUUAAAUUUAAAACUUGUCAACUUCAAAGUUUUAGGUCUUGUUGAACUCUACAAGUUUGAUGUAGUGCUUCUGUAUAGCCGAAGUCAUUUGAAACUUCAAAAGAUUUAGAUUUCAAAACUAGAGAACUUUAAAGGAUAUUAAACAAUCUCAAAAGAAAAACUUUUGAACUACAAAGUUUUAGGCCUUGUCGAGGUAUACAAUUUUGAUGUAAAGUAAGUCUUCAUCUGAAGUCAUAUGAAAAAGUUAUAAAUUUAUUUUCAUGGGAACAUUUCUAGGGGCGAGCCAUGUCAUCAUUCGCCCUUAGAAAUAGACGUCAUUUUGAGGGGUGGGUCACCCCGUGACCCACCCCUACAAAUGCUUCUCUAGAGAUGGGCUGGUUGCUACAGUAGCCCCGCUCCUUUUGUAGGAGUGGGUAGCAAUUUCGCCCACCCCUAGAAAAAAUGGGGCGCUCCUAUGAAUCGCUUUUGUAGUAGUGAUUACUAAUUAAAUGGUAUGCGUAGCCUAUGAAAUCAUGAAAUGAAACUUUGCAUUGAGGGGAUCGGUUUCACUCAUCAACUCAAACCUCUUUUGAUGACAUGUCACUCUUGGAAACCACAAGAUGAAACUCCCCACUAGGAAUAGCCUAACUAAAAGAAAAUAUAUAAUAAGUUAUAUAGCUUUAAUUUAUCAGAAAAAGAAAUGCCCGACUAGGGUACCCAUCACUAGAAUUCUAUAGUCAUUGAGCACAAUCUGAUGAUCAUUGGUCCUCUUCAACCUCCCGCCCCUAGCCUCUUCUUACCACCGAGUUUCGCACCCGCUGCUACCACUGCUGGGGAAGCGCCUUCAGAAUCAGGUCCAAACCCCCCUUUAGUACCGGUCAACCGGUAUUGUUCAAAUAACUGGUACUAAUGGGGAUACCAGUUGUUAAGACCAACCAGUACUAAAUUGGCUGCCCGGUUGCGUGUGGCCGAAGCCAAUUUUGUACCGGUUGAUCUCCCCAAUCGGUACUAAAUUCCUUUUUCUUUUCUGUUUCUUUUCUCAUUUUCUUUUCUAUUUCUUGAUUCUAUAUUAUUAUUUCGUAUUUGUCCUUUAUGUAUACUAGUUCUAAUACACAAUAUAUAUAAAGUUAUAUUUGAUCUAUAAUAUUACAUUUGAGAUAAUAUUAUACAUAGACAUCAGUCGACCGUGGGAUUACGUGAGCAGCCGGACGUUCGAGCCCGCGGCCGGCCUUCGUGCAUGGAGGCCGGAGGUGCUGGUGGCAGAGUAUGGGAGGUGCUAGCCAGCGGCGCGUCGGGGAGAGAAUGGCCGCCAGCGCGUCGGGGAGCGGAGGGCCACCGGCGUGUCGGGGAGAGGAGGGUAGGUGGCGUGUAGGGGAGCUCGAGAGAGGGCGUGCCAGCAGUAUCGUCGGGGAGAGGAGGAGGCGCCAGCGGAGUGGAGGCGGCGGCGUUGUCCGGGAUGAGGCAAGCGUUGCGUCAGGAGGGCCGGGGGCGGCCAGCGCUAGUGUUGAGGAAGUAGGGCUGGCAGCGUCAGGGAAGCAGGGGCCAAUGGUGCGUACGUCGGGGAGAUCGGGGAGGGCCCGCGACGUUGUCGGGAGAGGAAGGGAGCCAGGUGGCGACCGAGGGCAGCGUCGGUGUCAGGGAGGGGCGCCGGUGUUGGGAAGGGCCGCGUUGGGCAGCCAGCUGGCGCUGGUGGUGUCGGGGCCCGGACAACGUGCUAGGGAGGUGGGUCGGGGGGUGGCGCCGGUGUUGGGGACAGCGCUGACGGGAGCGCGCGGCGUGGACGAGCCGGAGGGUGUUGGGGUGGCAGCACGAAGGAUUCGAAUCGGAGGACCUAGGCCAGCGGCGACAACAUUGAGGGCGAAUGUGGCUAAGUGUUGGGAGGAAGGGGAUGGGGUUUUGAUCUUUAGUAGCGGUACAAAUGGCCUUUAGUACCGGGUGGUAGCCAGUACCGGUGCUGGCCACCACCCGGUACUAAAGGGGGGCAGAGCAUGCCAAAACAAAACUGCCCCCUUUAGUACUACAUGUUCUUAUCACCCGGUACUAAAGGGAUUUGUAGCCCACUGUUCUGGCUUCCCGCCUAAACAUCUUUUUAUUUUAUUUUUUUACAAAUGCUAUUGUAUUAAUUUAUUGCGUAGUAAAUCAAAUAACAUUCAUUAAAUUUGCAAAAAUAAUUUGUUAGCUUGAUGUUGAUUAGAUAUACACUAUAAAAAUAUUAAAUGUAGUCAAAUAUAAAAUAUAGUAAAGUUAUUAAUUUUAACUUAGUAAUAGGUUAUAAUGGUCAUAAUACUUAUGUUAACUUUAAAAUUAGAAAAAAUAUAUAUUUUGACCAUGCAAAAAUUUAGAAAAAUAGUGCAUGUAGUGUUAUUAACAUGUUUACCAUGACUUAGUCAUGUACUUGUUUAGUUGUAUCUAAAUUUAUUAUUUAAUAUUUAAUAAUGCUAAAAAACAAAAUAUUUAAUAUUUUAACCAUGCAAAAAUCUGUUGUUGUUUGAUAAAGUGAGAUUUUUGCAAAUAGUAUUACAUACCAUUACAAUGUGUUAUUAUAUUAAUUUAUCACUUGAUCACAAAACACAACAUAAUGGUUCUGAUACAUUACACAACAUCAUCUAAUGGAACAUUACUAACCUUCCUCUUGACGAACCUCCCUUGGUUGUGAUCGUGGCGUAAGUAUGGAGCGUCCUCUUUGGAUAACAAGAUGCUUGGGUCAACCUUGACUAAAAAUGGAGGAAGAUCAACUGAUCAUAAACUCCAACGAUUUUUUUUCAUUGGAAGAACUAUGUGGCGCUUUGGCUGGUCAUCUGACUUAUUAGCACCCUUCUAUUUUGGUUUGCUUGACAUGUCCAUCGCAUACAAAACUUGAGUCACAUCAUUGGCUAUGACAAAUGGUUCGUCUCUGUAUCCAAUCUUGUUGAGGUUCACUAUUGUCAUCCCAUAUUUGUCUGUCGUUACGCUUCCUCCAGUAAGUUUCACCCAUUGACACCGAAAUAGAGGGAUUUUCAAAGGUUCAUAGUCGAGUUCCCAUAUAUCCUCAAUGACACCGUAGUAUCUGUCUUUUUUUCCAUUGUUGUCUAUUGUAUCUAUACGGACACCACUAUUUUGAUUUGUGCUCUUUUGGUCUUGGACUGUCAUGUAAAAUGUGUACCCAUUUAUCUCAUAUCCGUGGAAUGUCGAUACUAAGAUAGUGAACCCCUAGCCAACCAUGCUAGUUGCUCUUCAAUCAUAUCAUCACCCAUCAGUCGUCGCCACAACCAAGAGGUGAAAGUGUCAAUGUGAUGGUGUGUAAUCUAGGCCUCAGUCUUCCCUUGGUUUGAGGACCGUACAAUGGUUUUGUGCUCCUCCAAGUAUGGAGCCACCAGGGAUGAUUAUUGCAGGACCGUAAAGUAUGCUUUACGAAAUGUACUCUCAUCGAUGUCCAUCCGAGUUUUCCUCCCUAGUGUGCCCUUUCCCUUGAGUCUCCCCUCAUGACGUGAUACAGGGACUCCAAUCGAACUCAGGUCGUCGAUAAAGUCAACACAAAACUCAAUGACCUCCUCUGUUCUAUGUCCCUUUGCGAUGCUUCCUUCCAGACAGGCACGAUUACGAACAUACUUCUUCAGAACUUCCAUAAACCUCUCGAAAGGGAACAUAUUGUGUAGAAAUAUAGGACCGAGAACAAAAAUCUCUUCAACAAGGUGGAUCAGAAGGUGGGUUAUGAUAUUAAAUAAGGAAGGUGGAAAGACCAUCUCAAAACUGACAAGGCAUUGCACCACAUUAUUCUGCAGCUUUGUAGAUUGUUUUGAUGGAUUGCCUUUUGAGAAAUCAUGUUGAGAAAUGCACAUAGCUUCAUGAUUGCCAUUCUCACAUUCUCUAGUAGAAUACCCCUCAGUGCAACAAGAAGCAAUUAUGUCAUUAGGACAUGGCAGUCAUGGGCCUUUAGAUUUAUAAAUUUCUUCUCUUUAAUAUUUAUUAUUCUUUAUAUAUUUGAGGAGUAGCCUGAUGAGACCUUGAUACUAUUCAAGCACUCAAACAUGCUUUCCUUCUCUUCCUUGCUAAGAGUUUAACUUGCAGGAUGCAAGUAAUAUCCAUCAUCUCUCUUUUCUAGAUGUAGGCCAUCUCGUUGUUUCAUACGUUUCAAGUCCCAACGUGCUUCAAUUGUAUCCUUUGCCUUUUCAUAUGUACCUAGGGAGCCAAGCAUAUUCAUGCAAAGAUUUUUUAUCAGGUGCAUCGCAUCGAUUGCAUUACGGACCUCAAGGACUUCCCAAUAAGGUAGCUCCUAAAAUAUUGACUUCUUCUUCCACAUGGGUGCAUGUCCGUCCUCUUCGUUUGGAACAGGUUGGACUCUGCCAGAUUGAGAAAACCACGCAAGCCAUUAAUGUAUUCCAUGGAUCGUUUGUCCGCACUGUACAUCCACUGCCGAUCCAUCUACAAAGUAUUACCGAACCAAAGAUAUUCUGAUCAUCCAUAGAAUUAUACAUGAAACAUAACAAACAUGAUACACUACGAUAAACCAUCCACUAAGUACUAUCUAAGAGGACUUUAAGCAUCUUUGGGCGGCAAAGACGAAGGUUUCACUAACGCAGCCUCAUCCUGUAGUUUAUUUGUGCCUCCUGCAACGGUACUACUCGGUGGACCUGAAACACCCGGAACUAGCAGUGGAGCAUAAUGACCACCAAAAGGAGAUUCCUGACCCGCUGCAAUAGCAUCUUCAUAACAUCUUUCCAAAUAACGAAGCCUUGCUCUCUCCAACGUGCUCAUUUUCCACGUGCUCAUUUUCUUCGGCUUAUCAUGAGGGCGAACUAUGGUUUUUCCCCUUGCCGCGAGAGGGACGACGAUCGCCCCCACCAUCGCCACUACCUCCAGCAGCAGUAGUCAUCUCUAUGUACCAUAAUUUAUUUAUCUCAUAUUUGCAAAUGACUAAACUAUGAACAAAUUAUAUUUUCCCCACAAUUUAUUUAGCUCAAACAUAACAUAUAAAUGAAAAAAAAUUCCAUUGUAGCUUAUUCUAAAAAUGACAAAUUACAUACCUCUAUUUCAUCUUAUUAUCUCUAUGUACCACAAUUUAUCUCGCUCAUAUUUGCAAAUGACUAAAAUAUAAAAAAAUUAUAAUUUUCCCCAUAAUUUAUUUAGCUCAUAUUUGUAAAGGACUAAACUAUGAAAUUAUUUCUCUAACCUCAUAUAAAUUUCUUUGACUAAUACGAAACAUAGCAUCCAAAAAAUUAUAGCUUAUUCUAAAAAUAAAUAUAAGCUCUAAAUAACACAUGCAUAUAAAUGAAAAAUUUCUCCAUUGUACCUUAUUUAAAAAACACAAAUUACUCUAGCUAUAAAGCAUAAAACUUAGUAUACUAACCAUGUAUCAAGGGAGGAUGAAGUUUUUAACCUUUAGAACACUUGAAUGAGUGAAAUCCCCACAAAAUGGUCAAAAAUCCGGCAGCACCUCCCCUAUUUUGCUAUGAAUUGAUGAACCUCGAGCUGGAGGAAAUAGGUCGGGCAGGAGGAAGAAGACAUCUGAUUUAUAGGAGGGAAGUUAGUACCGGUUGGGGGCUCCAACCGGUACUAAAGGGGGUCACGGCGGGCUCGUGGGAAACUAGCCGUUAGACCCGAUACUAAUGCAAUACUCACGUUAGUACCAGGUCAAAACCAACCGCUACUAAACCUCGGAACGAAUGCCGAGUUUCCCAUUAGCGUGCUGCGGAUUAGGGUUCUUGCUAAAGUGCCACGUAGGUACGGUGGCUAGCAGUCUGGCUUUCUAAAAGAAAUCAUGCAAGUCUUUAGCUAACAAGUGACCCUGAAAACUGAAAUCAGAGUAUACUGGUACAUAUACCAGGAACAAGAAGUAUGCAUGCGACAGUUAAACCGUUGGAGCUUCCGAUCUGCAACCGCUACGUACGAGCAAUGCACAUGUUGGCGCGCGCACGCAGACGUACGUGCCGUGUGCGCGCGAGUUGAGUGCACAUGCAUGUGUACGCUGCUAGCAGCUGACUGCUGCCGCAAGAGCCAAGAGGAGAGUAGUGUGGGGGCAUGCAAAUGAUGAUGGGUACACGACCGAAUGAUGAUGGCGAAGCCAGAGAAUGCACGGACCAAAGCUAGCGUUGGAUUCUCUCAUGAUUCCAUCCCACCCAUCCAUCGAUCUAUCGUUCAACUGCAUGCUGCUGCCAGCCUGCCAUGGGCAUGACCUAUGCGCAACUGCUGCCGCCCUAGCUAGUUCUGCACUGCACUGUCUUCUCUGAACCAAGUCCUGAUCGAAGAGCCAAAGGCUGAAGCAAUGAACAACAAUGAUUCUGCGUACGUCGUCGUCCAUCUCCACACAGCUCCUGCUGCAGCUGUACACCCCCCCCCCCCCCCCCCCCCCCCCCCCCCGCUCUCUCUCUCUCUCUCUCGUUCUGGGUACCAAGAGGAUCGGAGGAGACGGAAUUAUAUAUGGAAGCCACGCACACGUCAUCAUCAUUGUCCGAGGCCUUUUCUUGGAAAGUCUCGAGUGUUGAGUUUCUCCCGCCGGCUAGCCGGCCGGUCAGUCUCGCAACCCCUCCGAGUGCUUUGCCGUGACGGCAUCAUGCAUGGCAUGGCUAUGGCUCCGGUGGAGCUAAGCUUAUACGGAGUAGCUGCUAGCUCGACCGUCAGGAAGCUCAAAGCUGGCUUCUGUGUGGCGUAUCUAUCGUCGGAUUCGCUUGCAGUGUGCAGGUAGCUAGCUUGCUUUUAUGCAUGCCUUCACGCUUCAGUUGGGCGAUCGAGCUUCUGCAUCAAGACGAUGCAUACGGUGUCUGUUGACACGCGACUACCAUAAAAGGAUUUAGUACCGGGUGGAGCCACCCGGUAGCCGCUGCCACCCUACCGCCGCCGCUCCAUUCCUGCAUAGGCACGACACAGCAUAGGCACAACACGCCACCGCUGCCCGUCGCCCGCCCGAGCCGCCACCAAGCCACCAGCCCGCUGCCACUGCCGCCGCUCUCGGAUCUCGCACCGUUGGCCGCCGCCGCCGCUCCUCGCCUCAGGAACGAGGUGAGGGGCGAGUGGAGGGGGGAGGAGAGGGAGGCCGGGGAGGGAGGGAGGGAGAGCUUGAGGGAGAGAGUGCCGGGAGGGGGAGGGAGAGCUCGAGAGAGAGGGGGAGGGAGAGGGAGGGGGUGCCGCCGCUGGAGACGGAGGGAGCUAGUGGAGGGGAGAGGGAGCUGGGCAGAGAAGAAGAUAAGGAGGGAGGCACUAGGCAGAUCGAGAAGAUAAGGAGGGAGAGGCAGAGGGGAUGAGCUAGGCGCGCGUGAGAGAUGGGGGGGGCGCGUAAAAAUCUAAGUGUUUUGACUCAUGUGUGGACGGGAGGCCCUUCUAGUACCGGUUGGGGGCUCCAACCGGUACUAGAGAUCAUCCUCUUACUACCGGGUGGCUCACCUCCCGUCCACACAAGAGUCAAAACACUUAGAUUUUUACGCGACCCCCAUCUCUCACGCACGCCUGGCUCAUCCCCUCUGCCUCUCCCUCCUUGUCUUCUCGAUCUGCCUAGCGUCUCCCUCCUUAUCUUCUUCUCUGCCCAGCUCCCUCUCCCCUUCACCGGCUCCCUCCAUCUCCACCGGCGGCACCCCCUCCCUCUCCCUCCCCCUCUCUCUCGAGCUCUCCCUCUCCCUCCUCGACCCUCUCUCCCUCAACCUCUCCCUCCCUCCCCGGCCUCCCCUUUCCUCCCCCCUCCGCUCGCCCCUCACCUCGUUCCUGAGGCGAGGAGCGGCGGCGGUGGCAGCGGGCUUGGUGGCUUCAUGGUGGCUCGGGCGGGCGACGAGCAGCGGCGGCGUGUUGUUCCUAUGCUAUGUUGUGCCUAUGUAGGAAUGGAGUGGCGGCGGUAGGGCGACGGCAGCGAGGGCCGGGUGGGAGCGGCGAGAGCCUAGCGAAGGAGGAGGGGCGGCGGGGGUGGAUGGGGCGGAGGAGGAGGCGGCGGUGGGGGUGGAGGGGGCGGAGGGGCGGACGGGGUGGAGGGGGCUGGCGGUGGCGGAGGAGGCGGGGGUAUGGGUGGAUUUUCUUUUUUAAAAUUUUUUUAAUACCCUCUAGUACCGGUUACCGAUUGGCUAGUACCGGUUGCACAAUUGGUACUAGAGGAGGGUUGGAAACCGGUACUGGAGCCACUUUUUCUAGUAGUGCACUUACAAGGUGGUGGAGGAGGACAGUUCUAGUUUUUCUUAUUUUUUUCAAGGAAAAAGUUCAAAUUACUCCCCCGAAUAUAACCUAAGUCUGGAUAAUCCUCAAAAGUAUUUCUUGGUUUAUGCGAUUUGGUUCAAUUUACCUCUUACGCAAUUUAUCUUUUCUGUUUCCCCAUGCACAAGUAGAUUUUUAAGUUCAAAUUUCGCAAGAUGGUAGCAAAUAGCAUAAGACAUGUUUAAAAAAUAUAUCAUGAAUUUUUCAUCACUAUUUUGAUAGGGUAGGAUAUUUAAUAAUUAAAUUUUAUCGUUGAGAUACAAAAUUAUAUAAAAACUAAUGAUGAAAAAUUCACAAAAUAUUUUUUUAAUACAGAUUAUGAUGUCCACUACCACCCUGCAAAGUCUCAAAUUAAAAUUCAACAUGUCUAUGGAGAAACAACAAUGACAAAUUGCAUUAUGGGGUAAGUUGAACCAAAUAGUAUAGUUUAGGGGGUAAAUUGAAUAAAAAUAUAGUUAAGGGUUAUGUGGACUUUUACGAUAAGGGAGUAAUUUGGACUUUUUCCUUUUUUCAAUAUCUCUCAACUUUUUUUUAACCAAAAACGACUUACGGUUACCAUCCUUCUUUACCAUUUCUAUCAAAGAGUCAAGAUUGUAGAAAGUUUUAGUUUUUCUAAAUUUAUAAUUUUUGUUAGGCAUCACAUACGCUAAUGCUAAGUCUCGAUGCAUAAUUUGAGACGGAUGGUGUAUUUCCUGAGCGUUAUUUACUAGACGAUGGCUUACAUUGUUUUCUUAUUGGAAGUCGUUGCUCGGUGAUUCUUUAAUUUGUGUUAAUUUAUUUUCACCAUAGGAUGUUCAAAUUAGACAACAAAACGCUCAGGUUGAGAAAAACUACAAACAUGGGAUAACCGUAGGCCAUUUAAAAAGAAAUAAAACACCUAGGAAACUUGACAUCUUUUAUAUUCACAUAUGCAGGCAGAUGCAGACGCGUGACGACAUGGAUACAUCAUACAUGGAAUCGUUACGCAUACGCACAGACAUUGCCUUUAAUUUGUUCGUGAAUUAAUAAACAAAGAAGUGUUGUGUGUGGCAAUUGACAUGCAUGCGUAUAUAGAUAGACAUACGUACGUGAUGCGCACAGUUCAUUGACAGGAUAUGCAAAACGCUAUACGCUAGCUCCACCUAUACGUACGGACCGAAAUGUUUGACGUCUCUCUCUCUCUCUCAUUUUUACACGUAGCAUGGUGAAAAAAAUGAAAAACCCCUAGCUAUACGUAUUCUGUAAGAUUUCACGCCCUAGCCAUGCAUUGUGGUCACAAGCUAUGACGGCUGGGGUAGUUGCGUGAGGAGAAAGAGACGAUCGAUGGACAGAUGGAAUGAUGGGUUGAGUAGCUGGUGGUAGCGUGUGUUGACCCAACCACGCAGUUACUUCCGACGUGCGUCGCCAUCGUCGUCCGGUGGAUCCAACGGUACCUUUCUUCACCACCUUGCACACUGCGUAGUCGUCGAUCGUCUCCAACUGCAAUGCGUUUCUCCGUACGUCUGGUUGUAGCGCAUGCAUAUGGCAGGGCAAAGCAUUCAAUUGACACAACGCUGUUGCCGCUGCGGCUUCAAGGAAAUAAUAUAAAGGUCUGGGAUGCAUGGACCGAUCGACUGAUCGAUGGAUGGAUGGCAAGCAAUCCCAUGCAGCGAGGUGUAGACUGAAUCAGAUGAAAGCAGAGCGUGCGUCCCCAUGAUGAUUGAAGACGCCCUAACUUCACGGGGGUGCCAGCAAGAUCAGUUGACUACCGUCACAUCAUCUCAUCUCAUCACAUCACACGCUACGUACGCAUGUCUGUCGGACGUGCUUGUGCGCAUUGCCAGUAGUAGUUCCAUUAGUCCAAGUGCAUGAUAUACCUAGCUACCUAUUCUCUGCAAUCACAAAAUAAAAGUUUUGGGACAUCGACGCAGUCCAUAAGAACUAGCAAUUUUCUAAAAAACAUAUUAUUUUUAUUUCAAAUACAUGUUGUUAAAUAUUACUUCUCAUGAUGAAUAAUCUCGUAGCAUUAAACUUAUUAUGCUGAUCAAAACUAAACAAGUUUGACUUAGGAUAAAUGUAAAAUUACUUUAUAUUUGUGAUUGGAGAUAGUGUAUAAUGCAAAUUCAGUCCCUUAACGAUUGGCAACAGUUGCGGUGUGCAAAAUCAGUCCCUUGAUCCAUCCAAUCAUGAAAAUUUUGUCAUGCUCAUUUGGGGACGUAAAUUAUUGAAACUUUGGCAGCCAAUACUCUCUGAAUGAUCAGAUAAAAAACAUGCAUGUUAAUUUGUGCGUGCUAUGCUUUUCCUUGAAAAGUGCUUUUCUAGUAGUGCAACUUAUGUUGGAUUACAUGAACAUCUGGCACGGUAGUAGAGAGAUUAGCCAUCAAAUAAAGUUGUGUUUAAACAAUGUGCAAAGAUAACUUCCUUUUCUUAAAUUUUAAGUAUUCAUUAUUUUUUCAAGUGCAUGAUUUUAGCCUUUUACUGCCAUCUCUCAUUAUGGCAGCAACAUGAGUAGUUUUUUCUGGUUUCUAUGACUACGAGGAAGUACACUGUCAACUUGAAAUAAAAUAUGGUGGUAUCUUUAUUGCACAAGCACCAUAAAGACUUAAGCCUGUUUGGUUCUUUGGUUCCUGUCUGUCACAUCGAAUGUUUAGAUACUAACUAGAAGUAUUAAAUAUAGACUAAUUAUAAAACCAAUUGCAUAGAUGGAGGCUAAUUUGCGAGACAAAUCUAUUAAGCCUAAUUAGUCCAUAAUUUGAAAAUGUGAUGCUACAGUAAACAUGUGCUAAUGAUGGAUUAAUUUGGCUUAAUAGAUUCAUCUCGUGAAUUAGCCUCCAUUAAUUAGUUUUAUAAUUAGCUCAUGUUUAGUUCUCCUAAUUAGCCUUCGAAUAUUCGAUGUGACAUGAAUUUUAGUCCGGACUAAAGAUCCAAACACCCUUACUGUUUUCCAACAGUGUCUAAGUGGCCAACAGUGAUUUAGCUAAGUACAAAAGCUGUGGGUAAGGAGUUUGUGGGGGAUUACGUUAUUGGCGAUUACAAAAAGUAUAGGCAAAGAUGAAAAAUUAUACUACCAACACUAUUAGCCACUUAUAAAAGCAAUGCUAAUAAUGGUGCUAACACUGUUGGAUUUGGACACAUCAAAAACCUGUAGAGAAAGACGUAGAUUUUUGCAGUGAAAUCUACGUAAUAUAAUGAGCUUGUCCCUCUCAGUUCCUCAGCGGCUCAACGGCUUUCGAAUCAAUCAAAUGCUGGGGUCAAUCCAGUCUCAGACUCUCAUGGGACGCAAGCAUGACGCACUUCCAGAUAUUUUUUUUUUUGAAAAAUCCCCCUUGCAGAUUUGUAAUUACGUCGGAUUCAUCCAGUCAUCAGUUGAGAGACUCACGCAGCUGCCCAUUCCGAAGAAAAGAGUCACGUCAGCCGGCCGGCCUUGCCUCCCUGCAGCACCAGCAUUGCGUUGUUGUUGUUGGAUAGCUGAUGGUGAACUUUGCUUGGCCGUCGCCAACACUCAAGCACCUGGAAUUGGACGGUUGCUUUGCUUGGACCCCUACAGGAUUCCUGUCCUGCUACCUUGGUUAGUUUGAUCCUGACGAACAAGCCUGCAGCUCUGAACUGAUGAGCAGCAGAAGCUGUGCAAGGGCGGCAUCGAUCGAUGCAUGACGCAUGGCACUGAUCAUGGCAGAAGGGGAGUGUGUGUGCACACGCUCCUACAAAUCUAUGCUAGAUCUCUAGGUGACGGAAGCGAGCUAGGUAAGGGGCGUGGUGCCCCGGAGAAGUGGCUUUUCUUUUGGCCAUUUGGGGCCAGGCAUGGUGCGUUUCUGAGUCCAUCUGACUGCAUGUGCAGAGAGAGGAGUGAGAGUCACUGCUCCUGUUCUCUCUGAACCUUGAGGGUGGCGUGAUGCAAAUAUCCUAUAGGAUAGCAAUGCCCUUGCUGUCCUUGUUUUUUCCCCUCAUCCUUCUUCCUCUUUGAAAAAAAAAAUAGUGAAUUGCAAAAGUUUUAGAUAUUGGCAUAGUAGUUUGACUUUUAAAAAUAGCUUCUACAUGCCUUUUACUUUAACGAAGAACAUUGUACUUCGUACCUUUCCUUUACCGGAAAAGCUUGCUUUACUUUGCCAAUGAAUACUAGAUAUCUCUUUUUUAAAUAAAAUGGACGAGACACCCCCAUUUACAACUUGUAACUACACCCAAAAGGAUACCAUACUAUGCCCCAUGUCUAUAGUUUUUGCGUUUCUCUAAAAACAAGCCUAGAAGUUUGGAGAACUAAUCACUAUCCAGUUGCUGGAUGCAGAAUGAUUGGAAAUUUGGAAGCAUCGUAGGCUAAAACUUUUUCCCCAGCUGAAGGAGAAAAAUCUACGGAAUUUCUAAAUGUCACCCGGUUGAUUUUGAUGCAUGUUGUCAAUCACUUUUGGCGGCUGUGAUCAUUUCAAGAUUCACACUGUUUGAUAAGUUCAGUUACUCAGUGCUUCGCUUCAUUCUUUUCUUGAAUCUCUCUUACUUUUUAUUGAUUUUGUUAUUUGUUUUCAAUCAGUUUUCUUUGGACCUGUCUCUGUUCUACAUUUGGUUGGAAAAUUAUGGUUGGAUCAUUCAGUUUUCCAUCUCUUGAAUAUGGCAUGUCAGUACACCAUUGGAUUGAAUACGGCUUUCGGGGGGAAAAACUUCUUGGGCCUUUAAAAAAUCUGGCAGCACAUCUAAAAAGGACGACAAGGAAGGCUUUGUUUCCUUCCCACCACGCUGAUGGGCCAUGGGCCAUCAUCAGGCUCUCGCCUAAAAAUAGAGCCCACAACGGUACAUGCAACCCCUGCUUAAUGCGUGUCAGUAAACAUGUCUUCCGGCAAGUCCUGAGAGCCUCCCAUUCCCAUUGCUCAUUAUUAGGUUCCGUCCUUUUUCUCUCUCUCUCUGUAAUAUAAAUAAAUAGCGCGCUUGAUCGUCGUCGCUUUCUCUCAUAAAAGAGAGAAAAGGCAACGGGGGCCAGGAACAGGGACGACUAGAUCUUCACCGUCGAAUCGUCAUCAGAUGGCACGAGUUGCAUCCAGCUGCGCUGCCAUCCUGGCACAAAGGUGAAGAAACUGCAUACUACACAAUGCACAACCCUUUGAUGAUGCAAUAACAUCAUCAACCAUUCGUUCAGGAGGAUGCUCUCUGCUGCGGCGGUGACGGUCGCGGAGGAGUCUACGAAGAAGGCGGGGGAGACGGCGGUGAAGCUGGGCACGGUGGCCAAGGACAUUGCCAGCGCCAUGGCGACCACGACGGAGGAGAAGACGGCGUUCUGGGAGCCGGACCCAGAGACCGGGUUCUACCGGCCAGUGACCGGCACCAAGGAGGUGGACGCCGCUGACCUGCGCGCCGAGAUGCUCAAGCAGAGGAUGCUGCAAGACUGAUGACCUCAUUCCACUGGUGGAAAAGUGAGCAUUAAUCCCGGUUGGAUAGCCUCAUAUAUAUCGAAUAUCCAACCAGGACUAAUUUUUCGAGACUAAAGGUACCCCUCUUUAGUCCCGGAUCACUCACCCGGGAUUAAAGAUCCUCUUUAGUCGUGGUGGCCCCUUUAGUCCCGGUUGGUAAUCGGGACUAAACACUUUUUUUUGUUUUUACAUUGAACUCUUUUUCAUAUUAAUGCUAAUUGUUGCUUCACUUAUAUACAUACCUAUACAUAUACAUUCUUAGCGUACACUACUUACACAUAUUACACAUAUUGUAUGCAUGUCGUAUAUAUAUUUCGUGAUAGUAUAUGCAUAAUAUUAAUUAUAACUACUAUAUAUAUACAAUUCUUAGUAUUUAUACACAUCAAACUAGUGUUUAUACAAUUACUAUAUAUACAAUAAUUUGUCCUCUUCAUUCUUAGGAUCCUCCUGUCAUGGUGUUGCUCGGUUCGGCUAUUGAAUGUCCAUCAUAAUAAAAUUCUCCAAUGGGAUUUAUCAUCUUGUCCACCAGAAAUCCUAUGAGAGCUUCUUGGGUUGCCAAAAGCCUCUCCUUCUCCAAGAGUUCUUCUGUAAUAUGCAUCAUCUGUAAUUUGAAAAUAUGUGAAUGUUACAUAACAAUUUAAUAUAAGUUAGAAAAGGAUUAAUUAUUAAUAGAUUUUUUACGUACAGUUAUAUUGUCCGAUAUCACCUUGUCCCUCAUGAAAUGGUACUUGUGCUCAUAGACGUAGUAUCCACAUAAAUUAUUCCAUUCUUCCUGUAUUAAGCACUUUAGUGGGAAAAAACAAGUUAUGAAAUAUUCAUGUACAAAAUGUGCAAACUUCAUACGUACCAAGAACGUUGUACUGAAUGUAAAUUUUUCUUUGAAAUCACCAUGGUGAUGCUUACGAAAUCGUUUCCAUGCGCUGUGAAUUAAAAUAAUGAAUGAUACAGUGUUAGGUGAAAAUUUAGGAAUCAAACUUUUGCAUAGGGAUAAAGGUCCAGAAUUAUUACAAGUUAAGCAUGUCUUAAAUGUCUUGGUACUCGUCCUUUGGUUUCCUCAACGAAUCAAACACAAUAACAUUGCUUUGAUCAAUCAUAAUUAUAAGGAGAAUUGAGUGGAAACUGCAAACAUAAAUGUUCAUAUUAGAACUAACUAACAUUAAUUAGGUAUGGAAAAGGAAAACAAAAAUAGAUGGUACCCACACUUACUUAAAGUUGUAAGGCAGUAGUAUGUAUUGUUUGUAAUUCUGUUGCUCUAAGAAUUUGUAUAUUCGGUCCAAUGUAUCCUUUGGGUGAUCCCAAAUCUGAUCUUGGUUAACAAGCGUUGUGUCGGUGCACAAUCUAGCCGACAAGUAAAUAUUUGUAGUUUUGCCGUGCAGGAUAUGGCCUAGCACACAAUGACACAGGGUGUAUACUAGUUCGGGCAAUGUGCCCUUCUUCCAGUCAGGAUCAGUCGGUCAACUUUAUUUCUGAGCCCAGGUACUCAAAGUUUGCAGUGGGAGUACAAAUGAGAGGAGGAUGAGAGGGGGUGCCUUGGCCUUGUUCUCAUCUCAGUGGAAGAGAGUGGCAGGAGCUCAAACGUAUGCUAAGUGUGUGAGAGUGUGAAAGCGUAAGAGUGUAAGAACGUAAGAGUGCGCAAGUCGUAGAGGUGGAGGGUUCGUCCCCUUUUAUAUUACAAGGGAACGGCCUUACAGGUCAGAAAGGAUAAGGGAGUGAAUGUACGGGCCCUACCUAGUCUUGUCGAAGUCCAUGUCAUCUGGUGCGGUAUGGCCUCUGUCCUCGGUCCCUGUUCUCCUUGUCAUGCCACUCCGUCAUAGCGAGUAGGUUUACGGCGGUACUGUACAGGCGUGCGUAGGGCAUGGCAUGGGACGGUUCUGCGUACGACCGGCUAGCCCGGGUGCUUCCUCGUUAUCCGUCCCACCUGCUCCCUAGGCCCACACUGAGUGGGUGUCCCCGGUUGGUUGUCUUAGUCGGCCCCGACCGAGUCAGUCGGGAGGGAGCGGUACAGGUGGUACGGCGUAUCCUAAGUCGGGAGGACUCAGUCGGGAGUACCCGGUCAGGAGAGCUCAGUUGGGAGAACUCAAUCGGGGUUAGACUGUGGUCCCACACUAGCUAGCUCUUUCCAACUAGGCUUCCUGGUCGAAGGAGUCGGCUGGUGGCCAGAUCAUGGUCUCGGCCUGGUUACGUGUAGUUGGGCUUGCCUUAUGUGUGUUGUUGUUGUGCCCUUUGUUGGGCCAAGUGUCGCGGAAAGACGGUCCCGUUGGGGACCCCGGGUCUAUGGACCCGUCACGUUGGGUUCAUGAAGCCAACGUUAAAGUACAAUUCUUGGCGGCACCUCUGAAUUUGUAUCCUACAUAAAAUGAAAGACAAAGUUAGUAGGGCAACACACACACAAAAUAAUGAUAUGAGCUAAAAUUAACAUCUAAUAAACACACACUUUUCAGAACCCUAGCACUGAUGAGAGAGACAUCAAGGGCAUCUUGAUGGUACACUUUAUAAAUAUCCUUGAAUUCCAACCACAUCAGUUUCUCACCUUCACCGAAAAAAUCAAUUGGUUUAACAAGAAGAGCAAACAUGACCCUUUCCUUGACCGACUGCUCCAUGUACCACUGGUAGAAUUCAUAGAUCUUAGUUGAGAGCUUAUGUACCAAUUCAGGCCUGACUAGAGGCUUGCCUAACUCAAAGGGCCAUUUAAGUUCACUCUUUCUAGAGGUGGCGGUUUGACUCGCCCUAGAACUUCAGCAAGCAAGAGACCCAUGUCUUCCAUAAACUUAAUGGCCUGGAUUUGUUGUUGUAAAGGCAAAUCUACAAAAGUUUGUUGAUCUUGAUCCCCAAGCUGGGGGACAGUAUGACUGGACGAUGACUCUCCUUAUUUUUUUUUCUUCUGAUAAGACUUAACUAACGAACGAUCGUAGUUCGAUAGUAACUCUUCUUGAGUUCUUUUUUCAUGCCGAUAAAAAAACUUUAAUUUAGCUGGAUUUGCUAGCUUAGGCUCCAUCUCCUUCGCUUUUCUUUCUGCAGAGAUUUUUUCAAACCACUCGCUUACAUGUGCUUGCGAUGCCUCCUCCAAUUCCUCAGGAGUCAUAUCGCCUACUAGCUUCUUAAUAGGUUCAGACUUCUUUUUUUCUUCCUCAGUUCUUUCGCCUUUGGUUGCUUUAGCUUGGAAGGCAGUGGUCGCGACUUCUUUCGCCACUCGGCGAUUAUUUUUUUCCUGCAUUCUUACAUCUUGUUCAUGCACUUUAGCUUCUAACAUAUGCUGUCACCUCUCCUCUUACUGUUUCUUUCUUCUCUUCUAGCUUCUAUACGUGUCGAUGUUCCUGGAAAGCAUACUUCCACGGAACCACACCGAAGCCUCGGCAACAUCCUGGGUGUUCAGGAUUUCUCAUCAUUCUCUCUAUCAAGCUUGAACUUUUCUGCUUUCGAAUGUUCAAUAUUUUUGAUAAGCCUAAGGGCGUUCUCACGUAUUGUUUCAUUGAAAACAAGUGUCCCAUCCUCAAGGCUAAGGGUGCCUCUGUGAGCGUAAUACCAAUUCUUCGAUCGAUCCGGCCAGUCAUUAGUCGCCGUUACGAUACCUCAAUCAAGUAGGUCUUAUUCUAUCUUUCUCCAUCUGGGAAUUGCACUCCUGUAACCACCUUGCACUAGACGAUGAUGGUACCCCUUUUGACGGGCAUUUCUUGUCUUGAUCUUAACCUUGUUCGCACUAUCUUCACUCCUCUUGUAUUCCAUAAAUGAGUUCCAGUGAUCUCUUAACUUUGGCCGGUCAUUAAAAUCUGGAGUUCGGCCCUUCUUAAUAUAGUUGGUAUCCAGAUUCUUUUUGAAGGUCUGAAAUUGGGUUGCUAGCUUCUUGAGCGUCCAGUCUUUCACUAAUUUUUCAUCGAUGUCGUCAGGAAGUGUGAAGUAUUUCUUGACAUCUGCCCAUAACAUAUCUUUCUGUGUCUGCGGGAGCAUGUAUGGAUCAUCUUUUUUACUGGACUUCCAUUCUCGAAUGCUAAUGGGCACGUUGUCCCUCACAAUAGCCUCGUAUUGACUCACGAACUUUCUAGCGACUUUUUCGGGAGCAAUUAGCUAGCCCUCUUCUGUCACUUUGGUAAUAUGAAUCCUUUCCUCCAUUAUUUGUGUACAACCUCACGGCUUCUUUCGUGUUAACGAUCCAGAGGGCUAAAAGUUGAAGAUUCAUUAAUUAGUACAUAGUAAUAAUCAACAUGAAGUUAUAGAUGUGGUAAAACAAUGAAAAUGAUAUAUACCUCGCUGGAACCUUCCAUCAUGCUAAUGUCUUGUUCCGCAUUGUUAUCAACAUCGUGCUCGUGCUCACCAUUGCCAUCACUCGACAUGAUAAGGGACAUGUCCGCAUGGCUACCCUCAUCCUUGGUGUAGGUUCUUGGAAAGUUUGAGCCAUUACCACCAGCAAUAAUCUACUCCAUUAUAUACCCUUGUCCUCUUCGUCUCCCAACAAAACUAAUAAUGACAUUAGUUAUACGCACACAUAAUUAUAGAUACAUUAAAUUAAAGAUUGUACAAUAAAUGUAUAUACAUGAAAUCAUACUAAUUUGUACUAAUUUCUAAGCAUUUAUAGUGAUUUCUACUAAUUUCCUAAGCAAUUAUAACAAUUUUUCAAAGCAUUUAUACUAAUUUGUACUAGUUUCCAAAGCAUUUAUAGUGACUUCUACUAAUUUCCUAAGAAUUUAUAAUGAUUUCUACUAAUUUCCUAAGCAUUUAUACUAUUUUGUAAUAAUUUCCAUGAAUUUUCUACGGCAUUUGCACAAAUUUUAAUUCUAGUAUAUUGAGCGUUUUUCUAAGCACUUAUACUUAAUUUAUACUAUUUUUCUAAUUUAUAUAGCUUUUUAGUAUUUAAACUAAUUUAUACAGUUUUUAUGGAUUUUCUAUGGAUUUAUUCUAUGGAUUUUAGUAUAUACUAAUUUUCUAUGGAUUUAUUCUAAUUUAUACAAUUCUUCUAAGUUAUCUAAUUUGCUAUUCUAAUGUUCUAUGAAAUAAAAAACGAGGCUUAAGUCAGCAAGCUGCGGUUGGAAGCGGCGCGCACGUACUUCGUCGCAGGGGGGUGCCUGUCGGGCAUACUCCCCAGGUCCACGAGUAGGCCUUGGACAGCCCACCAAGGGACGUACUCGGGCAAGAUCAGAACAAGGAUGGGCGUAUCCUUCUCGGAUUAGUCUUGUAUGUUUAUGGAAAACUACUUGGGCCAAUACCGAGUAGAACUCUGUAAUAGUACCCGACUAGGACUCAGACUUGUAACCCUACCCUCCCGUGUAUAUAAGGCCGGGCAUGGACCCCCCUCAAGACAUCUCUCUCAAGAUCAAAGUAAACAUCAAUACAAACCAACACACAGGACGUAGGGUAUUACGCGAUCUAGCGGCCCGAACCUGUCUAAAUCAUGUUCCUUGCGUCACCAUUGAUUCCUUGAUUCUCGACGACCCUUACCGCACAAAAGACCACCUAGGGUACCCCCUGGGCGGGUUGCCGGUCUAAAACACCGACAACUGGCGCGCCAGGUAGGGGAGCGCGUCGAGUUUCUCAGCGCGAACUCAAUGGCAAAGAUCAUCACCAGGCUCGUCUUCCUCAUCGAAGCCGGCGCCACCUUCGUUUUUGGAUCCUGGCUUUGCGUCGCUGAAGGCUCGGGAUCGUUCCGACGCCAGAUCAUUGACAUUCAGGAAAAGAAACCAGAAGAUUUGACUAGGAAAAAUCAAGAUUUCAAAGUCAACGAGUUUGAGUUCGACUAUGCGUCAGACUCGACUUCGCCUCGGACUACUCCAACCUUCCGCUUAGGAGUCGGGCACUCCCGACCCCAGGACUCAGGGUCGGGCGAGGCGGAGCUUCACUCAGGGUCGGGCGAGGCGGAGCUACUCCUCCAAAGGGUCGGGCUCAGCCGACCCCAGGACUCAGGGUCGGACUCGCUUCGGAUUCGACGGCCCCAGUCAGCAUCCAAAUCGGUUUCGACUUCAACGCGGUUCCCGUACGGACUCCGCAACGCAACCAAAGUCCACCAAGGUUUUCUUGCUCAAACCAGAGUCAAACUUGGGCAUGACGAAGAUGUUGACUCCGACUCAUCCUACUCACCAGAGAUACCGUUAUCUGGUCCAGCCCAAGGGUUGGUAAUAACUUCGACAUCUCAAGGCAGAUUCAUCCACUGGCCGGGAUUGCGACCCUCUCUUCUCGACCGUAACCAUGACUCACGCCUUGUCGACAAACUCGCACUCAGGGAGAUCAUGGCCAUCGAGCCGAUGGACCCCACACCGUUAAAAUGGUCGGAAGUUCCAAUUUCUUUCAGCAGAAAAGAUCAAUGGACAAAAUUUUCAGAACCAGGCCGUUUCCCACUAGUCCUGGAUCCAAUUGUGGCAGGUUCAAAGUUAACGAAAGUACUCAUCGACGGCGGAAGCGGCCUCAACGUUAUCUUCGCCAAGACAUUAAGGAAAAUGUGCCUCGAUGUCACUGAAAUGCUUACCCCAACGGAUUCACCUUUCUACGGCAUUGUGCCCGGAAACGCGGCUAUACCACUGGGACAAGUUGUCCUUCCAGUCACCUUUGGAACUAAGGAACAUUACCGCACCGAGUAACUAAGGGAUGAGCGCGUCGGCGGAUGGCGAGGUGGCGGGCCGGUGUGCGGGGCCGGGGGACAGCGCCAAUGGAGCUCGAUUCGGCUGGUAGCGGCGCACAGUGGUCGGCGGCGGCGUCGGGGGUGGCUAUCUACGACGCCGGGCCGGGAAGGAGGGCGCCGCCGGGGAGGGCCGGAGUGCUGCUGCCAAGGGUGCUGGAGGCAUCGUCGAGGAGCCAGGGGAGGCGUCGGGGUGGUGCCGCGGAGAAGACACCGGUCGGAACAACGAUGAGGUCAAGGGGGACACCCGCAGAGGAGAUGAUGGUGGUGUCGGUUGUGAUACGGGCAACAGAGGUGACAAGGAUCGUGAAAUCGGCUAAGUCUUGAGGAGGAGGGAAGGGCUUGGAUAUUUAUACUCCCACCCGUUUAGUCCCAGUUGGUAGUACCACUUGGGACUAAAGGGUAUUUAGUCCUGUGUGGUAUUACCAACCCGGACUAAAGGGUCCCUCCCUUUGCCUUCCCCGCGCAAAUCCUUUUAUUUAAACAAUCAGUUUACUAAUAAUGCUACAAAUUUUAUAAAUAUGUAAUAAUUGUACCAGAGUAGAUGAGAUGUUGAAUAAUUUUUUUAAUUACUAUUUUUAAGAUGUAAUAAAAAACAAUACUAAACUAUAAUUCUUAAUAUGUUUUAAGUUGAUUUAAUACUUUUGCUUAAUCAAGAAAAAACCAAAAAAAAUCAAUGUUUUAAACAUGCAAAAAUGUAUCAAUUAGCUUACGUGAUGAAGUUAAUAUAUUGACCAUAUGAUAUUUUUUAACCUUUUUAUUGUUGUUUAUAUCGAUCAAAUAAUCAUGUGUUGAGCUAAAAACUCUCAUAAAGAAUGAUGAUAUAUAGUCCAUUACAUGAGUGAGUUUUACACAUCAAUAAAAUAUAAUAGAAAGGUUCUGAUGACCAUAGAGCAUUACAAUAUAACGUUAAAAAACUUCUUCUUGACGAAAGUUCCUUGAUCAUGAUUGCGGCAUAAGUACGGAGCCUCUUCUUUGGCUAGCAUGAUGCUUGGGUCAACUUCGAUAGCGAAUGGAGGCAUGCCAUCAAACUGAUCAUAAUCAUCUAACUGAUCUAUUUUAUCCUCAACUCCCACAAUUACUCUUUUACCUGGAAGAACUAUAUGGCGCUUUGGCUCCCAUGGUUUUUCUUUAUCUUCUGAAUUAUUCUUGGGUUUGCUAGACAUGUCGUUCACAAAGAAAACUUGAUGCACAUUAUUGGCAAGGACGAAUGGUUCAUCUUUGUGUCCAAUCUUGCUCAGGUCCACUAUUGUCAUUCCAUAUUGAUCUUUCGUUACGCCACCUCCAGUCAGCUUCACCUAUUAGCAAUGAAACAAAGGGAUGUUCAGCGGUCCGUAGUCGACUUCCCAGAUCACCUCUAUGAAACCAUAAUAUAAGUUCUUGCUCCCGUUGCUGUCUAUGGCAUCUGUACGAACACCACUAUUUUGGUUGGUGCGUUUUUUAUCUUGGGCUCUUGUGUAAAAUGUAUAAUCAUUUAUCUCAUAACCUUGGAAUUUCAUGAUUUUCCUAGAAGGUCACUUGGGUAACCAAGUGAGUUGUUUGUGAAUCGUGGAGUUACCCAUAAGGUGUUGAUGCAAUCAAGAGGGAAAAGUAUCCAUGUGAUGACGUAUAAUCUAGGCAUCGGAUUUCGUCAGGUAUUGGGAAAAUAGAAUCUACUUGUGUUCCUUAAUAUACAGAGCCACCAAGGAUGAUUGUUGCAGAAUCGUGAAGUGUGCUUUCUGAACAAAUCACUAUUAGUGCUCAAACCUGAUUUCCUUCCAAAGGUGCCAUUUCCCUGUUGUCUCCCCUCAUGGCGUGAUACUGGAACCCCAAUAAAAUCAACACAAAACUCAAUGGCCUCCUCUAUUCCAAAUCCCUUGGAGAUGCUUCCUUCUGGACGGGCACGAUUAAGAACAUAGUUUUUUAAGGACUAACAUGAAUCUCUUGAAAGGCCACAUAUUGUGCAGGAUUACUGGACCUAGAAUAGUAAUCUUUUUGACUAGGUGAACCAGGAGGUGCGUCAUAAUAUUGAAGAAGGAUGGUGAAAAUAUCAACUCAAAGCUGACAUCAUUUUGUAGCUUUAGUAGCUUGGUUGGAUCGAUUCAAUUCUACGAAAUUGCAUUGAGAAAGACGCAUAGCUUUACGAGCGCCAAUCGUACAUUUCCUAGUUGAAUACCCCUAAGUGCAACUGGAAGCAACUGGAUCAUCAACAUGUGGUAGCCGUGGGCCUUUUGAUUUGUGAACUUCUUUUCUUUCAUAUUAAUUAUUCCCUUUAUAUUCGAGGAGUACCCAACCCAGAUAGAACCUUGAUACUUUUCAUGCAAUCAAACAUGCUAUCCUUCUCUUCCUUGCUGAGAGUGUAACUGGUAGGACGUAAGUAGUGUUGUCCUUUAUCUCUCUUUUCCGGAUGUAGGUUAUCUCAUUGCUUCAUACAUUUUAGGUCCUGUCAUGCUUCCAAUGUAUCUUUUGAGUUCCCAUAACAACCCAGAAAGCCUAGCACGUUCACGCAAAGAUUCUUCAUCAGGUGCAUCAUGUCAAUUGCGUUGCGAACCUCUAGGAUUUUCCAAUAAGGUAGCUCCCAAAAUAUAGAUUUCUUCUUCCACAUGGGUGCAUAUCCGUUAUCAUUGUUUGGAACAGGUUCUCUACCAAGACCCUUUCCAAAGACUACCCUUACAUCAUUUAUAAUCUAAAAUAUAUGCUUUCUAUCAUGGUGUGCAGGUUGUUUGCGAUGGUCUACCGCCCCUUUGAAAUACAUCCCUUUUCUUUCUUAACGAGUGGUUAGCAGGAAGAAAUCGACAAUGACCCAUAUACAUGACAUUCCUACAGUGUUUCAAAUACAUGUUGUCUAUGUCAUCUAAAUAGUGGCUGCAGGCCCAAUAUACCUUGUUUGUCUGUCCUGAAAGGUUACUCAGCGCAGGCCAAUCAUUGAUGGUUAUAAACAACAAUGCUCAAUGGUCAAAGCUCUCUUGUCUAUCCUCAUCCCACGCACGUACAUCUUCUUCCUUCCAGAGCAGUAAAAGUUCAUCAACCAACGGUCUUAGGUACACAACAAUGUCAUUGUCGGGUUGUUUUGGGCCUUGGAUAAGCACCAGCAUCAUAAUGAACUUCCACUUCAUGUACAGCUAAAGAGGAAGGUUGAACAUACAUAAGGUCAUAGGCCAAGUACUAUGACCACUACUCAACUCACCGAAUGGAUUGAAUUCAUCAGUACUUAAACCAAACCUUAUGUUCCUUGCAUCCCUUUCAGGUUCGAGAAUGCUCUAUCAACUAAUCUCCACUUGGCCCCAUCAGCAGGGUGUCUCAGCGUGCCAUCCUGCUUAUGUUCUUCUUUGUGCCAUCGCAUCAACUUAGCAUUCGCCUUAUUUCUGAACAAACGCUUCAAACGUGGUAUUAUAGGGAAAUACCACAUCACCUUCGCGGGAACUCUCUUCUUGGGAGGCUGCCCCUCAACAUCACGUGGAUCAUCUCACCUGAUCCUAUACUGCAGCGCUCCGCACACAGGACAAACAUCCAAUUUCUCGUAUUCAUCACCACGAUAGAGGAUACAAUCAUUAGGGCAUAUGUGUAUCUUUCGAACCUCCAAUCCUAGAGGGAAAACAACCUAUUUAGCUUCAUAUGUUGUGGACGAAAAUUCAUUAUUCUCGGGAAGCAUGUUCUUUACAAUUUUCAAUAUCCCCUGAAAUGCCUUAUCGGACACACCAUUUUUUGCCUUUCAUUGCAACAUUUCCAGUAUGGAACCCAUUUUUUUAUGCCCCUUCUUGCAAUCUAGGUACAACAAUUUUUUGUGAUCAUUUAUCAUACGCUGCAAUUUUUCUAAUUCUUUCUCAGUUUUGCAGUUUUUCUGUGCAUCCCAUAGCACCUGACCAAGAUCAUCAGUAGGACCGUCUUCUGCAAAAAUCUUAUUCAUCAACCUCGCCCAUUGUAGUAUCUACAAAGGCUUGGUCUCCAGCUCGGUUCGAAAUAUUGUUAUCAUCCUCCUCUUCUUCGUCGUAUUCCAUUAUAACUCCUCUUUCACCGUGCUUGGUCCAAACCAAAUAGUUAGGCAUGAAACCGUAACUAAACAAGUGGCUGUGAAGAGUCCGCCAGGAAGAGUAAUGUGACAUCCCUAGUAAUUAAGAGACUAAAUCAAAGAAACAUCAAAGUGAAUAAGGAAUAAAUCAAAGCGAAUUCUAAAUGACUAAGUGUUAAACACCUUUGUACUAAAGCUCUUGGGGAGCAAGUAAAAAUAAAUUUUAUAUAAGAACUCAAAUUUUAGCCAAUAUAAAAGUGGUAGAUCUCUUCAAAUUGAGCAUCAUUUGUGCAUAAUUGAGCAUCUUGGCCAUGCAUUGUUAAGUUCACAUAAUUAUUGUUUAUUGUUAAAAUUCAAACUUGUGAAGCAACUCCAAUUUCUACUAUGCAAUUGUGCCUCCUGUUAUUUUAUUUAAAUACUAGAUACAAUUUGGUGAUUUUAUGGUAUUUUUACUUAAUUUUUUGAGUGAUGUUUCCUUGUGUUAAAAUUCAUUUAAGUUUCAAUUUUAGCUGUUUCCUUUUGUCAAUUGUGUGAAAACCUGAGCAGUUCUUGAGGUAAUUCUUGUGGCACUGUGUUGUUUGUGAUUUUAUCUUUCAAAUGAGUAUUUUUAGGAGAUUUUUGGGUGCCUGUAGCUAGGUUGUUUCAGUGGGGAAGGUUGAACUUUUUAAAAUUCGCUGGGCCCACGCGUCAGUCUCCUUCUUCCUCCCUCCCGCGUCUCUCUCGCUGGUUGGAUAGACCGGCGGUGCCCUCCCGUUGGCAAGCACCGGUGGUGCUCCAGGCCGCCGGACACCAGAUUGGCCGACGUGGCCGGCGCCACGCUCCCCCUCGCCUAUUUAAGCUCGACGACGACCCUCCCAGAAUCCUUGCCCCCUUCCUCCCCCACCAUUGCCGCACCAACUCCAAGCUCGGCCGCCUCUGUUCGCUGGCCCAAUUCACCGCCAACGAUGAACCUCUGUUCGAUUCCUCGCGGCCACAGCUUCCCUUCGAGCUCGUGCAUCCGUGUUGCCACUUAUCGGCCGCUCUCUGCCGUGAAGGCACCCCCGCCGGCAAGCUCCUCCCUGUCCGUCGCCUGCCACCAUCCCUAGCGCCUCCCUGCUGCGCUGCCUUCUCCCCGGUGUGGAUCUACUGCUGGUGAGCCCCCUGGCCUCCGUGCGCCGUGCCCUCGCCUCCCCACCGCCGUCGCGCCAUUUUCCCUCGCCACCGCUAGCAGGGCCCCGACCUGCCGAGUGCUGUCGUGCCUGUGUGUGCGUGUGUGUUGUGUGGGAGAAGAAGAGGAAAGAGGGGGGUUAUGGGAAAAAUUUCAGGGAUAUAUAUGUGAGAAAUCUUUAGACUUGAGGGUGGUUUUACAAAAUGAUCUUGGUUUUGAUUUAUUUCCUAGAUUUCAAUAGCUGCAAACUUUGAUAAUGCAUAGAAAUGUGUAGAAAAAUGCUAAAAAUGUGAAUCUUAUUUUGUUGAGUUCCUGAUGACAUCUAGUUUAUUUCCAAAAUGUUUUUUGCAUGUUACUAUUCUGUAUUUGAUGCUAUGUUUUAUUUUGUCUAAAAGUCAUUAAAUGCUUUAUAAAUCAUUUGGUGGCCUAAAAUUUGUGAAACUAAUUUUGUUAACUUCCAUUUAACAUGCAUGUUCCAGAGAUGCAAUUGGUGUUAGUAGAAUCUAUGGUGUUCAUACUAUUUUAAAUCUAAUUGCCUAAUUUUUGUCUUAAUAUUGUUAAUUGCAUGAUAAUUAGUGUAAAAUUGAUAAAAACACAAAAUAAGUUUCGUUAGAUUCUUGAUGCUUAUGUCUGACUAGUAAAAAUACUUGUUCCUGUGAAAUAUGGUUUUUAGUGCUUAAUGAAAAUACAUGUUUAAUCUUCUUAUUGUGGAAUAAAUAGUUCUCAUGCUCCUGAAAUCCUGAUAAAUUCACAGUAGCUUCUGAUAGUGUUGAAAACCAUCCUGUAAAAUUUGUGAAACCAGACUGAUGAUAGAACUCUAGUUAAAAAUUAUUCUUCAUGUUCUGCAAUUUAACAUUGUUUGAUUUUUUUGAUUUUUAGUGAAUUUUGUGGUUGUAAAAUCCAUCUUAAAUUUUUACAAUAGAAUUUUUGUGCAGAGGGAAAGUUCCUGUAAAAAUUUCAUGUUCAUAUCUUAACAUAUCUUAACAGAAGAUUCCUCAAACAUUUAUUCACGUUGAAAGCUAGUUUAAUUAUUAUUAAUAAUUACUAUUAGAACUUGUAAGCUCACAAGUAAUUGUUUGUGCUUUUCAUCAGUAGCAUGAUCACUCCUAAAAAGGUUGAUAAAUAGUACCAAUAUGACACCACCUUUUGUCUUUGGAAUAAUAAGCUUCUAAGUUUAUAUGUGUACACAAUCACCAUCAAAUAAAAUUCAUGUUUUCUUCCUAACCAAUCUUUUUUUGUGAAGAAAAGAAAUGUUACAAACUUUUCUAAGUGAAUGUGGCUAAAAGGAAAGAAAGGUUUAUAAACUUGUCCAAGUGAAUGUGGUAAAAAAACACCCUAUGCUUUUGCAAGGAUUAACUAAAUGAGACCUACAUCAUGAAAGAUUAUAAAUAAAAUCUUAUGCAUAUGCAUCUCGUGUAGAAGCUAACCACGCGGACGGAACUUACGAGCUGGUCCCGGAAGCUGAAGAAGAACACCCGCCUACUGAGCCGAACCUGAUCGAGGUGACCUAAGACCCAAACCUAGAUUCGGAGGAGCCCAAGGCUAACCUAGGACAAGAAGGCAAGUCGCGGAGCACAACCCUGGUUUCCAAAUUAUGCAAUGCUUAUGUUACUUAUAUUUGUGCAUUAAGUUCAUAUGAGUUGCUUGAAACCUUAGUUGCAUGCUUCUAAUACCCACGACUUGAAUACUAGCAUGUUAAGUCGAGUAGUUGCUAUGCUAAAUAGGGACACGGUAAAAGUCGAGUAAUUUCCUGUCACUCGCGAGCUAUAGGAGUUGUAUGUUUACUUAUGUUGGAAUCAUAAGGUUGACGGGCGAGGCUUGGUGCUAUGUUUUGAAAUUGUUGAUGCCCCGUCUGUAUAAAGGAAAACUGCUAAGAUCGAAACGUGUGGGAGUCUUGGUCAAGUGUUUGAACGUACUAAAUACAUGCUAAGAGAAUGGGAAAUCAAUAAGCCUAGUACCUGAUUGAACCAGCAUGGACCUUUACCCCCGCUCUCUCUGGAACUAGUUCCCAUGCGGCCUCAUGUGGGUACAAGUGUGGCCACGGCAUGGCGUCGUUUCGGGGACCAGUGGAGCCUUAUAUCCAAGGGAAGUGGGCUCUAGACAAGCGCCGCAAAUUGAUGGGAACCGUUGAUAUAUGCGAACCCGUCGACGCAUAUGUCGAGUGUUUAGGUCCACCAUACAAGGUUAAGAAAUUUGAUUUGAAUCGUCUGCUUCUUACACUUUGGGACUGCUUGACCGCUUUUCCUGCAUUGAGUAAGAAGGUGAACAAGGAUGAUGCUUAAUAUUGAUGCCUGAUUAAAUUUCUUGUUCUACCAUGCUUGCUUAGAAUAGAUGCUUACCUAGAAUGGUUAAUCAACUAGAACUUGAUGCUAAAACUUAAAAGUAAGGAUCCACUUUAGAAGCUUUGGCAAAAACAAACCCCUUAGUCAAAAAACCUUGCAUGACUAGGAGUCGAUUCAUUAGAUACCACCUGACGGGUAAGUCUUGCAGAGUAUUAGUAUACUCAGCCUUGCUUGUGGCUAUGUUUUUAGGUAAUGAUGUGGAUGACAUGAUUGCUAGUAUGACUUGGCCGUACCAGCUCCCUCCGGGAUGGACGGUUGAGUGGGAUCCAUCCUCGGUGGGCGAGGACCGAGGUGAGUGAUAUCAUGAACGACUUCACCAUAGUAUCGUGCAUCGACGUUAGAACUAUCGCUUAUUUUCCGCUGCAAUUGAACUCUGAACACUUUUAUGAUUUGAACUCUGAACUACUUUAUGCUUUGAAACUUGGUUUGUAAUAAAUUAAUUUGGGACCUCUGUAAUAUUUUAUCUGGAUUGUUGUAAUCUCUGGACUCAUCUUCGUGCGAGUUUUGUAUGCUUGUUUUGAUCGAAAAUACGUGGUUGUAUUGGGUGAAACCUGACAUACUACUAUUUUGAUUCAGUUAAAGGGUCUAUUCACAUUUGAGUUGAUGUUUAGCACACUUUAGCCGGGUUAAUUUGGGUGGUUCUACCGCAAGUAGUCCUUCUUGUUACUACAUUGGAAGCAUAGACAACAUAUGAAUCCCUUUUCUAGCCGGUAGGCUUUGGUCACUUCGAGAAAAUAAUGCAAGCCAUCAACGAAUUUAUUGGUCCGUCUGUUCACGUUGUAAAUCCAUUGCCGGUCCAUUCGCAUCAUAUUACCGGGAAAAUGGGCAUAGGGCUUCAUAUUAGAUAAAGAACGUAGGGGAAAAUAGAAUAAAUAUGUUUAUAAUAUUUAGUCCUUACAAUAAACAUGAAAGAAAUAGAAUUACAGAUAAUUUACACCAAUCAACCUUCAUAAAGAUAAAAAAAUAAUUCACAUGAAACUUGCACCAAUCAACCUUCGUAUCAUUCACUAGGUUGAUAAAAAGAAAAAUGCUAGAAUUUUAGAACAAGACAAUAAAGAUAUAUAUACACUAAAGAUUACAUACGCUCCAUAGUGGACUUCACGAAGCCAAGAAUCCUAAAAUAGUGGACUUCACGGAGCCAAGAAUCCUAAAAUAAUGGUAGAACGAGCAGAAUGUUCGCCCUCCAAGCUAUCUCUGCACAUGACUCAAUCUUCUUCGAAGUGUAUGGAGAGUCACCUCCACUCCUCCAGUACCAGAAAAUAAUGGUAAAACAGAAGAUCUUCGAGUCCACAUACUCUGGUUGAAUAUUAUAAAAGAAUCUUCAAAUAAUAGUCCAAACAUCUUUUGGAGCAAGUGCCAUAUUUUCAUAAUAGAAGUAUGGUGGCACACAAUAGGCUGUCCAGGCAAAACACCUGUUCACUGAGCAUGGCCCAUUUUGGCAAGCCAAAACUAACCAAAAGUUGAUGGGUCAAGGUCAGUGAACAAAUCUUUGCUAGGCUAUUAGACCAUCAUACUUCUAUUAUGAGAAUGUGGCUUCAAAAGUCAUUGGGAAAACUAUUUCAAGAUUCUUUUAUGAUAUUUAGCCAGAGUUGGUGGACUCGAACCUCUUCUGUUCUACCAUUAUUUUUGGAUUCUCUCCAUGAAGUUCACUAUGGAGCGUCUGUAGUCUUUAGUGUAUCUUUGUUGUCCUGUUCCACAAUUCUAGCAUUAAGUUGACGGAUGGAUGGGUUCAUGUCACUCUAAUUUAAGAUGAAAACUAUUUAUUUACCUAACUUUAUUGCAAGGACUAAUUAUUAAAAACAUAUUUACUCUAUUUUUUACCUCAAUUUUAUUGCAAGGACUAUUUAUUUACCUCAAUUUUAUUGCAUGUACUAAAUAUUAAAAACGCAUUUACUCUAUUUUUUCCCAUACCUAAUAUUGAUCGAGUUCUUUAUCUAAUAUGAAUCAUAUACAACAAGCAAGCUAUCUAUCUAUCAAAUUCUAUCUCAAAAAUAUAUAUAAAUAAAAAAUCCUCUCCAUUCUCCCUCAUUCUAAAAGAACUUAUUUUUCUUUAUCUCUAAAGCAUAAUAACAAUAUUGAAGGGAGUAGCUAACCUUUAUAACACUUUGGAUGAGUGAAAUCCCCACGAAAAUGAGGAAAAAAAUCAGAGCAGCACCUCCCUAAGCUUGCUUGCUCGCCAUGGAGAAAGAGCCCGAGCUCUCGGUUUGAUGAGUGGCUCGACCUCGGGGAGGAAGAAGGGGAUUUUUAUAGGACGGGCGUUUAGUCCCGGUUGGAAAAACUAACUGGGACUAAAGGCUUCUCAUUUAGUCCCGGUUGGUAAGCAUUUAGUCCCGGUUGGUUUUUCCAACCGUGACUAAAUGCCCCACCAGAUUCCCCCGUCCAUCCUAGCCGUUACAACCGGGACUAAAGGGGAGCUUUAGUCCUGAUUGAUAUUCUAUCGGAUGUGGCCGUCGGUGGUAGCCAUUUGACCCGGGACUAAAGAUCCUUUAGUCCCGGGUCCAAAAACGGCCGAGACAUUUGUCUAUGGAUGGAAAGUCUCGGGUCCAAAAACGACCAAGACGUUUGUCUCGGGAUGGAAAGUCGUCUCUACCGGUGUUCGUUGGUGCAGUACAGUGCAGGCACGGUCUGUCCCUGGAGAUUACCCCCCUGAAGAUGGCAGUGCCUAUUAUUGGCCAUCUUUAGGGCCCAUUUCGGAGAAAUUUCGUGUAAUUCAUCCAUUUCAGUGUGUACGAACUAAUGUGGUUCGUCCGCAGUUCGUGGAGAAUUCAUGGGUUCAAAGCAUGCCCCAGCACACUUCACAAGAUCUCAAAAGCUCUAUCAGAAUCAGAUAUGCGCUGGGACCAUUUGACAAAAAGAAAAGAUAAGAAAAACAAAGAUGGGAAUUCUGACCCGUAAUUCGUAUGUCACAACAUCCACAGUCGCUUUCUUUGCAUUGCUCAUGUGGUCGUCGGAUUCUGAUGGGCGCAUCAUGCCAACAGCGACAGUGAGACCACAGAAUACCAACACCAAUAGCAGCACUCGACCGGCCUUUCAAUCCACUAUCACGUUGAUUUCAUGGCUGGAAAGUGAACUUUCCACCCACAAGAGAGAACAAACCCAUCUCCUCUACAAGAGAUGAAGAUUGUUGUUCGUUUACACACAUUACUGUGGAGUCGCAUCUUUUGUUGAAAGUGCGGAACCUUACGUGUGAAACCAGUCCAGUUACAUGCCGUCUAAUUUGAACUGUUACUAUGGGAGCUAGUCCAUCCUCGCAGAUAAUAGCGCGAACUGAAUUUGCAAAACGGACUUGAACAAUAUAAGUGUUUUUUUUAGGAAUAUUUGAGGGCCAACUUUACAAUUUGGUUGCAAAUCAUAGCAAACACCUUAACAAUAUAAAUGAGUACAGAACAGAAGAAAGCAAAAACUUGUCCUCUUUAAAUGAUGAUAGUAAUUUAUGACCACAAUUAUGAAGUAGAUCGCCAUCCAUAUUCUAGCUUUACUCAUGCAAUAAACCUAUUUACUGUAUAACUGCAACAGAAACAAUUCAGUCAUUCUGUUUACUUGUAUCAGCAGUCCAGCAGUUCAGUCAUUCUGUUUACUUGUAUCAGCAGUCCAGCAGUUGCCAGACUGAAUGAUGAUGAUGAUGCUUCACAACACAGCUUAACUAAGGGCCCUAACUAAAGAUUGUCUGAAAAUGGAAGUUCAUGGACAUUUAUCUAUGUUGUACUGACAAAAGUUGUUACAGUUGAAAUCCAUGAAUUUUCACUUCGAUGUGCAUAUUUAAAGUCCAGCAAGGGAGGUAUAUUUAAAAUCUUUACCAAGAUGAUCUUGUAUGAGUAUAUGACUGACCCUUCUAUGCUUUGAUUUCUUUGGGAUUGUGAUAGAACAUGAUCCAUUCUUGCUUGCAUUCCAGGUUAACUUACCUUUUCUAAUGUUCGAGCAGAUUGGACACUUAUUCUGAAUUAGUUUCCCAUUGAGGUAACCGUGACCGGCUUUGGAAUCAAGGCACUCAGAUGAUCACAAUCUAACCAGAGUUUUUUCUAUCCUCUGAGCUAACUGAAUUCUGGAACUUCUCAGCGUCUGGAUAUCUUUACUUAUUUCUGUGCUAGUCAAAUAGAUUCAGUCUUGGGCCUACUAGAACUUACAUCAGUACAUGACCAACUUUUAGGUUAAUGUUUCCACGUGUGCAUUCACAAACAAAGAAAUCCACUUUCUAAUGUUCUAUGCAAAAACACAAGCACAUACCAACCAGUGACUAGUCCAACUGGUAGGGCAAUCAUGUUAGUUUGAGUUCCAUCAGGACAUGGCCUCUCAGCUGUAAGCCUUAAGAAUGAAUACAAAAUCAACCGCAGCACUUUUUAAAGAAAACUGACAAAAGAGGAAAACCUAGAAAUCUUAAUUCUGAAAGAAAUCAGAUGAUGCUUCUGAAUAUCAAAAUGUGAAGAUUCUUACUGCACCUACUAAAAAUACAGCAUUAAUCUAAAUCACACAAUCUGACAGUCUAUGGGAAGUCUAGAGAGAAUAAGAGAAAUGAUAAGGAACAAGAAACAUAACUAAGUGAUAAUGACAAACUAGCAAGAAGAGCAGCAGAAAUUACUAUUUAAAAGAUAUAUUUACAGAAUGCUUGAUAGCAAUUAUGGAAGAAUUUUUUUAAUUAUUUUCCAACUUAAGUUAUGUCCUUUUCAUUUUAUAUCUCCUCCCUCUCCCUCUCAAGUUCGAAAGAGCACGAAUUAAUGAACCCUUCAACCGACUACCAAUAUAUCAUAACAGACAAUCAAAGCACACCAUUCAAGCCAUCGGAUUCAACUACCACAACUUCACACACUCAUUCGGUUGCUAUCCACAUGAAGCUGACUUCACAAGGUAAACAGCAUAAUUUCCAAAAGGGAUUCAGAACGUCUCUCUAAACUAGCUAAAACAGUACUCCCUCCGAUCGUAGGUCGUUUUGACUUUUCUAGGUUCAUAGAUAUUAUUAUGCACCUAGACAUACACUAUAUCUAGAUGCAUAAUAAUAUCUAUGAACCUAAACAAGCUAAAACGACCUACAAUUUGGAACGGAUGGAUUACAUGAGACAUGACAUCAGGCUCUUUCUAAACUAGCUAUCCAAUCUCAAAAAAAUUGAGAAGUAAAGAUAGGGAACAUAUUAGGAACUACAGACAUUAGCAAGUGAUAAUUGUGAGCUAGCAAGCAGAGAGCAGCAGAAAUUGCCAUGCCAAAGGUCAUAGUGUUUUUUACUAAGCAAUUCUACUUUCUUAUUGAAGAGAAUUGUAGAUUCCCAAAGGAAGAAAAAUCUAGCUCCUGAAAUUACUCUAGUAACAAUAAUAUGCUCUUGUACAGCAAACAUUACUCUCCUUCUCUCCCUCUCUCAACAGUCCAAAAGUAAAACUCCAUUUCCACCCAAAAUGGCAAACUAACAAGCCUUCAACCAACUACAGAAAAAAAACAAUUAAAGGACACCAUCCAGAGCCGUGGGAUUCAACUACCACGACUUCACAAAGUGUGCUUGGAACAACCUGUGGGCGAAGCAGUAUACAAGGUCUAAAACUUAAAUACACAUCAAUAGAAUUUUUAUCAUCUUUCACAUCAUUAUUUUCCAACUAGAAACAAAAUAAACCUAUCAGUAACUUGAUAUAUUGUUGCAAUGCAAAAUUUUGUAGCAGCUCCCCCUUUUUAGGGGGAAAAAAAGAAGCUGAACUGACUUCUAAAUAUCUCAUUCCCUCUGGAAUCACAGUACCAACAAAAGUGUUGUUCUUGUGAAGUAACAAUUUACUGAUUUAAGCUCGCUCAAAGGCUUCAUUUCUCAUGGAAAUAAGAAACUAAUUAAGUGUACAACGAAACAACCACAACAGACAACUGAAGCACAGCAUCCACAACCAAGGGAUUGAACAACCCCCAAAUAUAGAAACUCAUUCACAUGCAGCAGACAUCACAGGGGAAAGAUUAUAACUUCCAUAGACUUGUAAAUUAAAAGAUCCGAAAGAUCUUAGUUACUUCUCAAGUUGUCCCUAAACUGUCUGAAACAGUUGGCGAUACAUGAAAUCUGAGUCCUGAACUUGCUAUCCCAUCCCACAUCUAAAAGCUGGGACCUUUCAUCCUUCCUCUCUUUAUUAACCCAUCUACUAAGACGUACAUAACUAGCAGUAGCAGCUUACAUAAGUGGCAUCCCUUCAACCUGC
rnacentral:lncRNA from 1 species